UUCGUGUGUCAUGUCAUAUCAAUGGUAAAUUACUAGGUUAUAAACGGAAAUAUGCCUUAGAUCAGUGCGUACAAUGUUUUAAAUGCUGUUCAUUCUACAAUUUGUUGUUUUUGUCUUGUUGUGAUGUACGGUGUUUGACCUUUUUGAGAAUGUAUACUUGUUGGCUUAACAUUGCAGUCAUCUAUUGCAGAAAUGUACAGAGAGGCAGUUUCCACCAGCCGAUGUGGCUCAAAUAUUGGAUUCUGCAGUUACAAGCUUGAAGCCUUGCUGCCCACAAAACCUUCCAGUUUAUACAGAAAUACAGAAGUGCAUGGGAAUUGUCAGGAACCAAAUAUUGGCGCUUAUACCUACUUAGCCAAUAAAACUUGGAAGUAUAUUUUUUUUUCUUGUCUGCAAUGUAGAUAAUUGAUUUGAUUGCCAUCUUAGCUUCUAAGGCUGCCAUGACAAGUGCUCUUUGUAUCCAACUAACAUCAAUGGAAUGAGUUAUCACUUCCAUUAUAGGUCAUCUAUCUUCAAAUUCAUGAUAGACUUGCCUCUUAUUUACUGUUGUUAAGUUGAUUAUGUACCCGUUCGCUCUCCCUUGUUGAUAGACACGUACAAGUUUUGGGUCCUUUGCAGCUAUUGAAUGGAUUGCGCAGGAUCCUAUGGGAAUACAGUUUUGGAGAAGUCAAAGAGGGUUUUUGCCUCAGCUGUAGCAUAACCAGAGGUUUUAAAUUUUUGAAUGCAUGAACUGGGUAUUAAUGAAGUAGUCGAUUUGUUUAAUCAGCCAGACUUUGCACGCUUUGCAAGCAGCAGCUGAUGUUCAAUCAAUAUUCAAGAGCCUUAGUGUAUUGAUCUAACAGCUUUAGUUGUUUUCUCUCUUUUAAACAGGAUACUAGGGCUUUGUUUGGCAUCGACGUGUUUUGAGUGCUUUUAGGAAGACAGAUUGUAGAAUACCAUCAGCUGUCUACAAUCUGUCAGGUUGUACAAUCUGUCUACAAUCUGUCUACAGAUAGGUGGUAAGGUUGUACAAUCGACGUGUACAAUCGACGUGUUUUGGGAAGCAGGAAAGGAGCGGAGGACGGUGGCAGGUUGAGGGGAGAGAGGGACGGGGAUAUACUCAACAAAGCCCAAGUUACAAAAUUUUCCUUGUCUUUACAGAUAGGUGGUAAGCAACAAUUACAAAAACUAAUACUUCAAAUACAAUGUUACAGUAAUAUAUAAACAAAAAUAAUUUUAUUCAUAUAAUAUAUUAAAAAUAAAUCAUAAAUAUACAAAUAACAAAUAAAUUUUACAACAUUUUUCAUCAAUUACCAUCACCCAUCACUGCCCUUACCCAUACCCACAACUGUUAUCACUCCCUUUCUCCUUCCCUCUUCCUCCCUUCACUUUCUUCUCCCUCUUCCUCCUCCCUUCCCCGCCACCCCCACCUCCUCUCCUUCUGCCCCGUCGAUCUGGUUUUGACAAGAUCACGACUAAAAGGAAGACGGAAGGAGAGGGAGAAGAAAGAGAGGGGAGGACGAGAAGAAAGAGGGCCGGGAUGAGAAAGAAGGAAGGAGGGGGUGAUGGUAGUGGUGGGUGGUAGACUGGUAGUGUUAAUUUUUAAAAUGUACUCUAGAUAUUUUUUUUACUUUAAAAAAAUACCUUAAAAUAGAUUCCAAAAACUCCUUCCUAAAUACCACAAAAAACAUUUACAAUAAAAAAUUUUUCAUCUACACUGUUACAGUAAAAUAUUUCAAAAACACCCAAAAAAAUGGUUAAUCCAAACUACAAUAAAAUAUAAUUAUUGUGCAACCCGGGAUUGAACAAUUUAACCUGCAAAUUGAACCGAUAAUUUGAUGAUCUAGUCAUCUCUCCGGGUCGCAAUAUGAAAUAUCUCCCUGAUUAUGGUGAUUUUAUACCUUUAAUGCAAUGAAUUUACAAUGUGAACAUGAGUUUGCAUUGUCCUAAAUAUGUAAGUACGAUCCACAUCAUGGUUAAUCUUUGCUAUACUUAUCUCAAGCAAUUAAUCUCUAGGCUUUUCUUAUUUCAUUGUGACAUAUUUAUCUUUCAAGUUAUUUUUUGUCUAUUAUAUCUAUGUUAAUUUAUGUCAUUAAUGUAGAUUUAAUAAAAGUAUGAUAUUUUAAGGAGAAAUAGUUGUAUUAGACUAUUCGAACAAGUUUACAUAAAUGUUAAAGAUUGAAGUUGUUCAAUGUGGUUCGACCUAAAUAGAGGUAUUGUCCCACAAGUAUUUUCUACAUAGGUUAGAUGAGCAUGUUUCAGCAUGCCCAUUGAGAUGAAAUUGAUGAUCAAGUCUUAGGAACUCAAAGGAAGAAGGAACCAACUUGCCAAAAUUUAUAGGAUAUUGAAACUUAUUUGCUGCUUCAUUUUGGAAAAGGUUUCUUUGAUCUUUGUUAGUCCAAAAGAUCCGUUCGACUAAAACAAGCUACCUAGAAGUUAAAUUCGUUGGUUAUUGAUUUUGAAUGCUAGUAUACUAACAUAAACUUCGAUCUUCUUUGUCGGAAUUAUUCUGGAUUCGGUUAUUAUUGCAGAAGCAGAGGAAACGUUACUGGCUCACUCUUGUUUCCACUUUUGCAAGAGCAUAUAGCUUUGAUUGUUUCGUUCUUUUGACAUGGACAAUUGCUGCAAAUUCCAUUGCCUUUUACUGGCUCACUCUUGUUUCCACUUUUGCAAGAGCAUAUAGCUUUGAUUGUUUCGUUCUUUUGACAUGGACAAUUGCUGCAAAUUCCAUUGCCUUUUGCUGCCAUUGUUUCCUUCUUGUAUUGUUUAUGCUCUGCACUUCUUCCAUUUGUCUUUGGUUCAUCUAGUAAUUUUUUAAAACACUCUUCUUUCCAUCACUAAUUGCGUGCAGAGUUUUUUGCUCAUUGUCAAAAUCUUAGUGAAAUGUCAAUAUCAACAUUGUAGACAGAGUAACUCAUACGCUAUGUUGAAACAUGCAAGUAGUAGUAGUUUUUGAACUGAAUCCUAUGAAUUAUGGUGUGGUGAAAAAUUGCUAUCUUAAGGAGUGAAGAGUCUAAACAAGAAUCAACAAGAUUCUAAAAUUGAUAUGUUGUAUUUUGGGAAAAUCGUCCAAAACGUCCCUCACAUUUUGUAAAAUGACUUUUUUCGUCCCUCACUUUUAAAAGUGUAAUUUUAUGUCCCUUACAUAUUCACAUAGGUCAAAUUUAGUCCCUAACUAGGUUUCCGAUCAUUUUUUGGCCGGAAUCCAUCACGUGCAAGGCACGUGAUCAUUUUUGAAGGGUAAAUUUGUCAAAUUAUAUUUUACAUAAUCUAAUCUAUAGUCCUCCACAUUUUAUAAAACAAAUCUUUUCGUCCCUCACAUUUUAUAAAAUAAUUUUUUCAUCCCUCACAUUUCACAAAAUGAAUUUCUCCAUCCCUAACAUUUCAAAAAAUGAAUAUUUCCAUCCCUCACUGAUUAUGUGUGUGAGGGAAACCCUAAAAAUAAAUAAAUAUAUAGUGAAUACAUUUUGUUUAAACACAUGUAUAUGUUUAUUUGAUUUUGCUUAAUAAUACGAAUAGCAUAAAUAUAUGUAUGUCUAUUUGAUUUCAUUUAACAAUAUGAAUACCAUAUAUUAUACGUGAUCAUUUGAUUUCAUCUGGUAUUAGCUAGUAAAAAAUCUUGCAUUCAUUGUCAAGUUGGCCAAUAAAGCUAUUUUCGGUCAAAAUACAAUAAGAAUAUGCAAAUUAAAGUUCUAUUGGUAAAUAUUAGUCAUAAUCAUACAAAAACAGAGGAUAGCCCACAAGUUGGGCCCAAUUACAUACAUGUAUUUAUACUAUUAUUAUUAAGUAAAAACAAAUAAACAUAUACAUGUGUUUAAAAAAAAUGUAUUCACACAUAAUUAGUGAGAAAUGAAAAAUUCAUUUUUUAAAAUGUGAGGGAUGGAGAAAUUCAUUUUGUGAAAUGUGAGGGAUGAAAAAAAUCAUUUUAUAAAAUGUGAGGGACGAAAAAAUUUAUUUUAUAAAAUGUGGAGGACUAUAGAUCAGAUUAUGUAAAAUAUAAUUUGACAAAUUUAUCCUUCAAAAAUGAUCACGUGCCUUGCACAUGAUGGAUUCCGGCAAAAAAAUGAUCGGAAACCUAGUUAGGGACUAAAUUUGACCGAUGUGAAUAUGUAAGGGAUAUAAAAUUACACUUUUAAAAGUGAAGGACGAAAAAAGUUAUUUUACAAAAUGUGAGGGACGUUUUGGACGAUUUUCCCUUGUAUUUUUGUCAUUAAUUUUAUGGUUAUUUCCCUCUUUUAUUUUACCAAAUAUUACGUUAUUUGAUGGAUUCUACUUAUAUUUGGUUAAUGGUGCUAAAUUAUAGGGAAAUAACCAAAACAUGAUUAAAAGGGGCAGUUUCCAGCUAAUUUGGUGGUGAUACGUUCAGGACCUACAUUCAAGUCCAGAAGACUUGGGAAUUUGUCACGCAUGGAGAUUUCGUAGUUCGAGUCAAAUAUGGACAUCUUUGGUGAAUUUGGAAGACUUUAAUCAUCUUUGUUAGUUGUAGAGUUGAAUUAGGAAACAAUUAAGUAUUAUCUCUUUAGAAUGUUUCCUUUUUCAAUUGGGAGUUUGUUUCCCUUAAAAAAAAAAUGAGAAAAUAGGAAGAGCAAGCCGGAUCCCGGGUGAUUAAGAGUUCGGACAUCAACAAAUUCGGGAGAAGUUUUGUUUUUCUUAAGAAGCUACAAAAUAGGAAUUGAGAGGAGGGCCGUGACUUGUCUCUUUCUUUGUCUUCUUUCGUUAGUUUUUGGAGAAGGAACCAAUGGUUAUCAAGGAAGUCCUGCGGAUUUUCCUUGAGGAUGUAUGUAGCUAAAUCUCCGUUUUCUAGUCAAGGGGACAACUGAAGAUUUGGUUCGGCAAUUACUAUGAGAUCUAAAUUAUUUUAACUGUGUCCUUCAUUUAUUGGUAUAUAUUUUCUGCUUUUAAUUGUUAUAGCUAUUGUGUAUGAUUGAAUAGUGUGCAAUAUUUAAUCGUCCACGUGGGCUAUUUUGCAAAUUUGGGGUAGUUGAAACCGUAAUUGUUCGAUUACCUCCGUUCCGGUAGCAACUGGUAUAAUUGGAUUUAUAUCAGAAAAACAUACGAUCUAACUUAAACAAAAGCGUGUUUGUUACUUUGGAUUGGACUUUUCUAAAUCUUAGUGCAGAUUAGAAAUUAAAUCCUAUGGUCGUACCUAGGAUUGUUUUCGGGUUAGAGAAAUAGUUAACGAUCAUACCUUAACUAUCGAAAAAUUAAGGAAAGGCUAGUUGUUUAUCGUAUGUAUGAUAACUAUAACCAAUCUAUUAAUAACUGUUGGAAUUAUAUUUGAAUCGAUGAUCAGUUGCAUGAACCAUCUCUGAAGUGCACCCUUGGCUAGAGUUCUCCCUUUUAUUUCUUCCAAUCAAUUAUUUUUCGCAUUUAAUUUAUUUAGUUAGCAUUUAAUCCUGAAAUCUCCCAUUUGUCUUGACUCGAAAGGAAACGAACUUCUCCCCAAUUCCUGAGGAGAUGACCUGCUUGCCACUGUCUACUAGUUAGUAAAUUUUGUUAGUAAUUAAUUCUGGUAUAUAGGAUUAAGCAAACUCUUCAGGAACAAGAUGAAUCAAAUAACCCAUUGCACACCUAAGGUCCCUGCUCCAAUACCUAGAAUUGAUUAUUUACAGCUUGAGGGUAGUUAGGUUUUAUUAUUAUUAUUGCACAUGUUCGGCACCUUUUCAAAAACCUAGAGUGCACGCAAAGGGCCAAGGUGUAAAACCCAAACAACAGACCAAGUGUUUAAAUUUGAUAAUCUCUCUAUCUAUCCAUCUAUUAUAUCCACAUCUAUAUCUAGCUAUCUAUAUCUAUAAUCUAUAUAAAAGGACAAUGAGUUUUGGUAUUUUGGAGUGUGGGUGUAAGCAUUGCUAUGAUCUUAUUUUGUGUUAUUUGAAUUAUGCCCUUCUUAACUUGUGGUUAAGUUUCAUACAAUCUUAAGUAUGGGUUAAAGUUUAAUUAUGAAUUUCUAAUUAUUACAAUCACUAUAUUGCAUCAUACCAUAGUGAUUUAGAAAGAAAAAUCUCCUUAAAGUUAUAAAUAGUGAAAUGGUUUGAGAAAUAUUUGUCAAAUGAAUUAUAUGAGUUGUACACAUCCAAUUCAAAAGGGGAAGAACUUUUGAUGUUGCACACAAAGGACUUUCAAUAUACAAAAAAUUAGACACCUUCAUAUAACUGAAAUAACAAUAUUAAACUGAAAAAAAAAAGGAAAUCUGAAAUAGCCCAUACAAUCCAUCAUUAUUAUUAAUAGCAACCCCUCAUAACAAGAAAAACUGAAAAAAAAAAAUGAAAACUAUUCAUAAAAUGACAUAAAGCGAAUAGAAGUGAAUCAAAAAGCUAAAAAUACAACUCAAAUAAUACCACAAAUAACUUUCAAAUCACUUAAAAUUCUAAUUCAGGUGAGUCAAAUCUGAGGGAAGACAAAAAGUUGUUAUUGAUAGCAAUAGAGUAGUGCUUCAUUUAUAUUGUUUCGAGCAAAUCGAGUUAAUCCAGCAAGCUGUAUAGAAGCCAUCAGUCCAAGGAAAAGGAGAAGAAGAAAAGGUUACCAUAUAUAAUACUAUAAUUUGUUAACUACAUAUCCUAUCUUAUGUCUAGAAACUAAUAAUUGUACUCGAAGAAAAGGUAGUCUGCAGUGUUGGUUGGUCUGAUACUUUUAGCUCUUUGUGGAAAUAUAAAUAGUAUUCAAGUUACACUGGAGAAUUCUAAAGGAACCAAAUCAAAAUACUAAUUACUAAACACACAAAAGAAGCACUCUUUUGACUCUUUAAAACUUUAGUUUCUAAACUACCUACACUUAAAAACAUUGACAAUUUCCCAAUUAACACGGAUCAUACCUAAUAAACUGCUUUUCUUUCUCUUCAAAUUAAUUUUGUUAAAUUUUCUACUUUAAUCCAACAAACUUAUCUUAGUCUACGAAGUCCAGUGAUUUGCUUCUCAAUUAGUCUAAUGUAACCAAGAAGUUGCUUGAUGAAAUGAUAAUGACUUGAUCCCUUCACACACUUUUUUUUUUCCUAACCCCUUCUCAUUUUUUUUUGUUACUUGUCCUAAUAAUUUGCGUAAUAAAGAUUUUUUGUAUUUUAAACGAUAAGUUAACAAUAAGAAAAAAGAAAGCAUAUUAAGAAGAUGCAUCUUCAGGAACUAGCCACCAGGCAUCCAAUUAAUUGACCUACAGAGAUGAACAAGCAUAAAUUGAUUAAUUACACUUUUACAUGUUUUCCAGGCCAGGCAACAUCUAAAACAUGUAUUCCUUUCAUUUCUUUAUUUCUUAAUUACACGAGAAGAUGCUUCAAGCAAAGAAGAAGCAAUAUUUAUUUAUUUUUGAAUGGCAAACGGGCUCCAGCAUUAAUCCAGGAAAGUUAAGAGUCAAAAUGUUGAAAAAAAAAAAGAACGAAAUAAAAAAUGCUAAACACAUGAAAAUCACUCUGAUGACUAUUUGGAAUUUUUGCUUUUUGAAACUACCAAGCAGGCAAGCACUGAAAACAUUGACAGUUUUCCAUUAGCCCGAACAAGAUUCGGUAUUUUCUUUUCUUUCUCUUUAAAUUAAUUUUGUUAACUUUUUCUUCUCCAUUCCAACGCUAUCAUCUUACACCAUUAGACUUGUUGAACCGAAUUUUAUGAUUCUGAUACUAUCAACAUGCAUGCAGGAUUAUUAGGCAGUUGCCUCUCCUUUGUAUUCAAAAAAAUGUAUAUAUAUAUAUACAUAUAUAUACACAUACAUACAUAUAUAUAUAUAUAUAUGAGUGUGUGUGUGUGGGUGUUUGUGGGAGAUAACAAAAAAAUAAAUAGAGUAAUCUUAUUGCAAAUAUAUUAGCAAGUUGAUUAAUUAAAUUAAUCUAGAUAGAUAAAAUAGAGUAAUCUGAUUAAUCAGACUUUUAUUUAUUUUACUAAUCGAUAUCUAAAAUAGUUCAUACCUAGUGCAUCCUAUAUAGUACUAGUAAACAGAAUUUCUUAAAUAAAUAAAGGCCGCCAGCAGCACAAGCCAUUGACCAAAGCUAGUAACAUGGCCUCAUCUUAAUGUGCUACUAGUAAAUAGAAUUUCUUAAUGAAGAAAUCACAAGCCAUUGACCAAGCCAAGAAUGAUGGCCUCAUCUUAAUGUAGCCUUAAAACUUUCUCUCCUUCUUUAAUAUUACCCUCGUUUGGUACAUGGAAAUGCACAGAAUAGAAAGGGUUUUAGCCAGAAUAUGUUUCCACCGGGAUGGUAGGGAAAAAAGUUACUAUUCCAGGGCUUGAUAUACAAGUUAGAAUGGAAUAUUUACUCAAUUUCCAGAUGUUAGAAUGGAAUAUACUAAAUACAAAUUUGAUUUAAUUACCCUAGAUUAGUUUAUAGGACAUAAUAUAUCUUCUUUUUUUUUGUUUUAUUUGGUCUGCAAUAGUAUUUGUCUAUUUACGUGAAAUUUUGAUAUCUUUAUUUAAAAAUAAAGGAGGAUUGAUAUCAAAAUUCUUCAAUUGUAGUGAAGAUUCAAGUUAAAUUUCAUUUACUACCAAUAUCAAUAGUAGCGUAAAAUGUAAAUUACAUGAAGUUAGACAAUUAUAAUUUAUUUUUAAUCUAUUUUCAAUUUUAAUAUGAGAUUCAAAAAAGAUUCUUGAACAGUUGUUCAAAAAUCAAAGAAUAAAGUAUCUUAAAACAUUUGUUUCCUAGUAUAAAAGCAAAAUAUUAUUCUAAGUACAAGAAAAUUAAUUAUUACAAUAAUUACAUUCAAAUAUUAAUUGAGUUUAUAAAUAGCUUAAGAUAUGGCGAUGCAGUAGACUUGUGACGAUAAAUUGGACAUCCUACUAUUUAGGCAUUCUAGGAUGAAGGAGAAAAAAGCUUUCACUAAAUUUUUUUGAGGAAUGAGAGAUUCUAGAAAAAGUUAGAAUGAGCAUUUCAGAAAGAAAGAGCUUUCCCACUUAACCAAAUACUAGAAUAGAAUGAACAAGUUGGAAAGGCCUUUCUUUCUUGGUGUAUUUGUGAGCUGCAUUUAUGAGGAAGAAGCUAAUGAGCUUCUAAAUCCUAUGUCGGAUCACAAAUACAUGACAAUUUAGUGGUGUAAACUAGUGAAGAAGAAUCUUAGCACUGCUGAUAGGUUGUAAUUUUAUCAUUUAUUUUAUUAUUAAUUUCCCCUAUUACCUGACCUAAUGUGGAUUAAUUGUUAGAUUCUAUUCACUUUUGGCAAUUUGCAUUUAUUUCAGAGAGUAGAACGAAAAUACCAUAAUAAGUGCCAAUUUAGUAAUUAUCAGAAAAGAGUUUAAGUAACAGGGGCAUUUUUGGAACGUCAAGACGCGACCCUUUUUUGGUAAUUUGGCGGAAGACAGCAGCGAGAAAAGGACGAAAAGGCUGAAGUCUUCUAUUCGGCUGGAGGGGCCGCCGCACAGAAGCCAAGCAUUAGAGUAGCUAGGUAUUAGAUAGAAAAAAAGGCACAGAGAACUAGCACUACUUUGAUGGCUUAGCCUUUGACUUUUCUUUUUUGUUUAGCUCUUAGUAGUUUUCUUUUCAUUUCUUGGAUGUCAGGAGUAAUUAGGAGAUUCAAUCAUUUUUUGUAAUUUUCGUUUUCCUUUCACUUGUUCGGACGAAUUGGGCUUUCCCAAAUGCAGACAAUGGCCGCGACUUUUGCUUCAGCUUUGUAUGGGUUUUUCGCAUCAAAUAUGAACUAAUUUCUUCACUUUAGUCAAUGAACAACGGAGGCUUUGGUUCCCCUAAAAAAUGUGAGAUCGACUUAAUUUUAUUUUUUUUUUAUUUAUUGGUAUUCGCGUAUUCCUUGAUUGCAGUACUGAUGAUUAUUUAAUUAAUUGAUUGUUUUGGAUCCGGAUAAUUAGUUAACUUGAAAAUCUAUUGUCAAUUAGGGCAUUAAAUUCGUAAUUGUUUAAUUGCCUUGAAAUAGUGACAACUGGCAUGAUUGGGUUUGUGUCAGGGGAACUCGCGGGCUAAUCUGAAAUAACUCUGGUAGUGCGUUAUUUGAUUAGAAUAGGGCUCCUAUAAUAUGUAAGGCAAUUGGGGAAUUAAAUCUUAUGGGCGUACCUAGGAUUAUUUCUCAAUUAGAACAGUGAUUAACGGGCGUGCCUUAAUCACCGACACAGUAAGGAGGGAUUGACUGUCAUCGCUUGUUUGCCAGUUAUUACCUAUUUAUUAAUAAAUAAUUGGAACUGCCUUUGCAUCAAUGAUCAAUUAGGUGAACCAUUGUUGAAGUUAUUUCUUGGCUAGACCUUUAAUUAUUGUUACUCUAAUUUUAGUGAAUUGUCAUUUAAUUUCUAGUUAGUUAUUUAUUUUUAUUUGAAUUUCUUUGAUUGUCAUCGUUUAUACAAAAACACCCCCGUGUUAUUUUUGGAUUUCGAAAGAGACAAAUAUCCCUAGUCCCUGAGGAUACGACCCUACUUGCCCUAUUUACAAAUUAAUAAUUAUUUGUGAAAAAGCCAUCCCAUUCGGGUAUAUCGGAUCAAGCAAACUCUUCGGGAACAGGAUGAGUCAAGUAAUCCAUUGCACAUCUAGAGUCCCUGCUCCAGUACUUGGAAUCGGGUUUUGGUUAUUUUAAUUGACAAAUAUGUUUAUUUUUAUUAUUGCACAGGCAUUGAUAACCUGUCAACUGCCCAUAAUUUUUUUUUUCUUCGUUCCUCAAGAACGUAAAACAGAAGUCCUACCAACCACAUAACACUUUAUUAUGAUUCAAUCAACUCAUUUGGUUGAGCAAAGAAACCGAGGUUUCUAUUCCAAAAUGAAAAAGAUAUUAUGUAGAUCUGCCAACUCUUUUAGAUUUAUUUUAAACGACAAAAGGGCUUCAGCAUUGACCCAAAAAAUGAGGAGCGAAAAUUUUAAAAUGACUCAAAUCAAAGAACACGUAGAAAGCUCUCUUUUUCUGAAUCAAAUUCAUCAAUAUCUUUCCUUUAUCUUUAAAUUAAUUUUAUUAAGUUUUCUUCUCUGCUAAUCCAACAAGUUAUCUUCUGUCUACUAAAUUUAAAUAAUUCCAUUUCUCAAUUUGUUUCAUAAUUACAUAAGCAAUCAAGAAGUUGGUUGAUGAAACGAAAAAGUCCUCAUCGAUUCUAAUCUGUUUGUUCCCUGUCUUAAUUGAUUAAGUAGUCAAGAAGAGUUGGCUUAAUUGUUUCAGAAAUCGAGAAGAUUCUUUGCAGUGUGAAUAACAAAUAAACAUUGAGGAAAAAAGAAAAAGAAAAAUGCAAAGUAGGAAGAUGCAUUUUCGAGGAAGUAGCCACCAGGCAUAUUCUAAUACCAGCCAGAUUGAAUAAAUGAACUUGAUAGACAAAGUAGAAUAAAUUGAUUAAUCAGGAGCGAGAUUUCAGAUCUAUGUCUCCUGUUGCCAGCCCCUCAAUCAGUUUAGUUAAGUCAACUCUUCUGAGUUUUGUGCACUGUUACAUUAAUCACAAUUAUACUAAUCUGAAUCUCACACAUCAACCCACUGGAAUCGUUAAUCAUCUCUCUCUUAUUCUGACUGGCUUCUAUUCUGAUUUCUAUCAUUUGUUGCUGAAACAUUCCUUCCAUCUCUGAUAUUAGAAAACCUUUCGAUCCAAGUUCCAAUUCCAAGCAAGAAACAAUGGCUGACGCUGCUAUCAGUGCUACUGUUAAAGUCCUCUUGGGGACAGUUACUUCCAUUGCUGCGGACCGCAUUGGUAUGGUUCGGGAGGUCGAAGCGGAGUUGGAGAGACUAAGCAAUACUGCUGCAAUGAUCCAAGGUUUCCUGGCUGAUGCUGACGGGAAAAUGCAUAGCCAAGGGGUGCGAGAGUGGCUCAAGCAGCUAGAGGAUGAGGUUUUUAAAGCUGAUACCGUGCUGGACGAGCUCCACUACGACAAUCUUCGUCGGGAGGUGAAGUACCGAAAUCAACUCAUCAAGAAGAAGGUAUGCUUCAUCUUCUCCUCCUUUAAUGCAAUUGGUUUUAGUUCCAGCUUGGCUUCAAAGAUCCGAGACAUCAACACCAGCCUAGAGAGGAUCAACCAGCAGGCAAAUGUCUUGCAAUUGGCCAGAAAGCAGCAAAAAGAAGCUGAUGCGGCUGGUGCCACGGCAAGCAGACAGACCGACUCUAUUGUCGUUCCGAACGUUGUAGGAAGAGCUGGCGAUGAGUCAAAGAUAGUGGAGAUGCUGUUGACCCCAUCUGAAAAGGUUCUUUCUGUUAUUCCCAUAACAGGCUCGGGAGGUUUGGGAAAGACAACUCUGGCGAAAUCAGUCUACAAUAAUCCAAAAAUAGAUGGGCACUUUGGCCAAAAAAUUUGGGUUUGUGUGGCUAAAGAACAAAUUAAGAUAAUGGAGCUGUUCAAGCUCAUUUUGGUACAAUUGACACGAAAAGAAGUUAAAGUGGAUGACAGAGAUGUUAUCGUUAAAGAAAUUGGAGAAAAGCUGAAGGGACAAAAAUAUUUCCUUGUUCUUGAUGAUGUGUGGGAUCAUGAACAAGGAUUGUGGGAUGACUAUUUCAACACUUUGAUGGGACUCAAUGAAACCAAAGGAAGCUGGUGUCUUCUCACUACUCGUCUAGAAUCAGUGGCUAAUGCUGUGCCUAGACAUUUGCAAAUGAAUGAUGGUCCUUAUUCCCUAGGAAAGCUAUCAGACGAUGAGUGCUGGUCUAUGAUAAAAAGAAAGGUACUCGCAGGGGAAGAAGUACCAAAAGAAUUGGAAGCAAUACAAGAGCAAAUUUUAAGGAGAUGUGAUGGUCUACCAUUGGCGGCAAGUUUGAUUGGUGGCUUGUUGCUUAACAACGGAAAAGAGAAGUGGCACUGCAUUGUGCAGAAGAGUCUCUUGAAUGAAGAUCAAAGUGAGAUCAAUCAAAUACUUAAGGUGAGCUUUGAUCAUUUAUCACCUCCAUCAGUUAAGAAGUGUUUUGCAUAUUGCUCGAUUUUUUCCCAGGACACUGAAUUAGGAGAAGAUGAACUAAUUGAGCACUGGGUUGCUGAAGGUUUUGUUCUACCAGAUCGGGAAAACACAGGAAUGAUGGAGGAAAGAGGAGGCGAGUAUUUAAGGAUUUUGUUACAAAGUUCCUUACUAGAAAAAGUCGCAGAUGAGGGGAGCACAUAUUAUAAAAUGCAUGAUCUCGUGCAUGAUUUUGCAAAAUCAGUUCUCAAUCCUAAAAGCAGCAGCCAGGAUCGCUACCUUGCAUUACACUCAUAUGAAGAAAUGGCAGAAAAUGUCAGAAGGAAUAAACCAGCAUCAAUCCGCUCGUUAUUUCUCCAUCUAGAGGGUGGCAUGUCUGCUGACAUGAACAUGUUAUCAAGAUUCAAGCACUUGCAUGUUCUCAAAUUGUCUGGAUUUGGUGUCAUGUUUCUGCCGAGCUCUAUUGGCAAACUACUACGUCUGCGGUUGCUCGACAUUUCCUCUUCUAUAAUCGGAAGUUUGCCAGAAUCUCUUUGCAAGCUAUAUAAUUUGCAGACACUAGCGAUUUAUAAUUUUCCACUUGAAGGAGGUUUUCCAAAACGGAUGAGCGAUUUGAUUAGCUUGAGACAUCUAAACUACUACCAUGAUGAUGAAGAAUUUAUUAUGCCGGUGCAGAUGGGACGAUUGACUUGUCUUCAAACUCUAGAGUUCUUUAAUGUAAGUCAAAAAAGGGGAUGUGGCAUCGAAGAGCUUGGGACCUUGAAAUAUCUGAAAGGAUCGUUGACUAUAAGAAAUCUUGGACUAGUGAAGGGCAAAGAAGCAGCUAAACAAGCAAAAUUGUUCGAAAAGCCAAAUCUGUCUCGCUUGGUGUUUAAAUGGAAGAGUGGGGAUCGAGAAAGCGAUAACUGUGAUGAGAAUGUGCUGGAAGGUCUCCAACCUCACCCAAAUUUGCAAGAGUUGGAAAUUCGAUAUUUCAUGGGUAAUAAAUUUCCGCAAUGGUUUAUGAAUUUGGCAAAUUUGGUGGGGUUGCGGAUAGAAGAUUGCCAGAGAUGCAGUGAACUCCCUACAGUCGGACAACUGCCAUCCCUCAAACGUCUCUAUUUGAAAAGAUUGGACAACAUUCGAUCUGUUGGAGAUGAAUUCUACGGUGUUACUACUAAUGAGGAGGAGGAGGGCAGAUCACGAGCAUCAGGGAGCUGCACUAGAAGACGGAAAUUCUUUCCAGCCCUUGAAGAACUUCGUGUAGAAUAUAUGGAGAAUUGGGUAGAGUGGAAGGAUGCAGACCAAGUAGAUGUCUUUCCCAUGCUGAGGGAUUUUCACAUUCUAAGUUGCCGUAAGCUAACAAGUAUAAAAACGGGUCACGGCACUGCUUCUAUUGAGGAGUUGAGUAUCGACACUUGCGACAAUCUUAGGGAGCUGCCAGAAGAUGUGUUUGGAUCGAGUUUGCAGCAGCUGACCAUAAAAACUUGCGCAAGAUUAAUUAAUCUGGGAGUAAAUGGACAGAAAUGCCCCCUACCAUGUCUUACGCGAUUGUUUAUUUGGGGUUGCGAUGGGUUGACCACUAUAUCCGACAAAAUGUUCGAGUCAUGCCCGUCUCUGCGGUCCCUGUCGGUGGGGUGGUGCCCCAGUCUGGUGUCGUUUUCGCUUAAUUUGCAGGAGACGCCUUCUCUCGAGGAAUUCAGCUUACUCCGAUGUCCCAAAUUGAUCCCUCAUAGGUUCAAAGGAUUUUCUUUUGCCACCAGCUUAAGAAAAUUGAGCAUCGGUCCCGUCUCCUUAAUGGAUGAUUUUGAUUGGUCUGGCUUAAUAUCUGCUUCAACACUCCGUAGCCUUCAAUUAGAAGCGUUGCAUCACUCGGAGUCCCUGCCACACCAGAUUCAAUACUUGACAGCACUCACUAAACUGAGUCUUCACAACUUUGGAGGAAUAGAAGUGUUACCGGAUUGGAUUGGAAACCUUGUGUCCCUUGAAACCCUAGUACCAUGGAAUUGCGAAAAGCUUUGAUCUUUACCAUCCGAGGCCGCCAUGAGACGCCUCACCAAGUUAACUCGUGUUGAAGUUUAUUAUUGUCCUCUACUAAGACAACGAUACACUCCCCAAAGAGGCAUCUACUUGGAGGAGUAGAUUUCAAGUGAUCCGGUGAGAUUUUCCUAUCUAAAGUUCACACUCAUACAUAUUUAUAUGUAUAUAUGUAUAUAAGUUCACACUUAUUUUGUAUCUGGAUCUUAUUGACAUAUAUUUGCUCUUCAGUCUCUUAUACUCUUUUUCUCUAUCUCGUUUCUGCAAAGUUAUUCUUUAUAAUUCUCUUCUUUUGGGCAGACAUUGGUUUCUCUUCAAAGAUUAGUUUUAACAAAGCCUGGUUUUGAACAAAUUGGAAGCAACCAAAAUUCUGGAUUUCGUCUGCCUCUCUGAACCACUGAAAGAUUUUAAACAUCUUAAAAACUCCUUACACUUCAACUUGUUAAAUUCUAUUUGGCCAAGGACGAAAUUAUUAGCGACGGUGCAUACACAAUUAGCCUCUUUGUUUUAAUGUGUUGGAAAAUGCUUCGUUUGAUGUGCAAUGCUAGAUGUACAUGGAUGCAUUCUUCAUUUUUCUGUCACUGAUAUUGCCAGUCUCAAUGGAUAACAUUAAAGCUAAUCGAGAAAUGAUGUUGAAAGAAAAUUCAAGACACAAUUUGCUGUUCUUUGGGACUCUGUGUACUUAUUUGCUAUAAAAUUAGAUCAGUCAAAUUGAACUUCAAAUAUGUAUGUGGAGGAACCCGAGUGCUGUGAACGUUCACCCCUUACAAUUGAUACUGCAUGCUUCAUAUCAAUGACAAUAAUGUUUUUUUUUUCAAAGAGAUAAUGUUGGAUAGUUGCUUAUCAUCUUUCACAAGUUUGAAAAGUUUAUACGCCACAAUUGCCUUGAUUUUCUGUUCAGUGAGCUGGAUUAAUGUAUUGUAACCUUGCAGACGAGUAAUGCAAUGAAUGAUGGUGCUCAAACAUCAGCUUCAUGUUGUUUCCCAUUGUUGCUGAAGAAGAAGAGCUCAGGAGGUAUAUAGUGCACAAAAGUGAUAAUGCAGCACUUCUCUCCCCAAGAACUCUAAGUUUGCAUUCUAGUAUGCUUAAGUCAUGUAAUUGGCAUGAAAACAGGGUAUUUUUCUGCACUUUUAUGUGUUGUUGAAUGUUCCUGCGAAAGAGUGUGGUUUUCAAUUUUCUUGCACAAGUUUCCAGGCCAUACUUUUUCUUUGCUUUCAUAGUUCGUCAUGAUUGAAGCCGUUCUGAAACGUAAUAUUACGGUGCUUAUUCCAGAGUCUCAGGAAGCAGACCUCAUGUUGUUGGACAAAGGACACUGCUGUUACCCAUUGCAUUUUUUACUAGAUUGCCAAGGGACACAAGUUAUUUUUCAUUGACCAGAGGAUUUGAAGAUGAAGGCAGUUAUCAAUGAUGUCAAUUUAGCUCAUUCGAUAGCAUUAGCUUUGAUGGAUGUUUCACAAAUAGUUGGUUUCUCAAACAUAAGUUUUUCGUUAUUUCCUGGUCAGAAUGCAGAAAGGAAGUUUUUAUAUAAACAUAGGUACUUAAUACAAAUGAAACAACGCCUUUCAUUAUUUGUACCAUUUCUAGAUUCGUGAGAUGUGCAUGCCCAUCAAAUAUUCUACUUGUACCAAUUUUUAUAUAACAAGGAAUCAAGAAAGUUUUGGGCAGGGAAGGAGCCAGCCAUAGCAAGAACAAGGCAUCAAAUUUUCAUCAGUAUUCAGUAAAUUAGCCAUCCUUUUUUCAAAUUUUAAAAUUGGACCAAUGUGUUCAAUAUUGUGGUCGUAUUAUAAGUUUUCUCCUCUAAUUCACCUGUGCUGCCAUUGAAGUUCAACAAAAAUGUCAUACAUUUCUAACAACUAGAGUUGUCAACAACCAUUCAACUUGGUAUUCAUUUACUAUUAUUUGUGGGAAAACCGGUUAAAACGUUUUUCACAUUUUGCAAAAUAAUUUUUUUCAUCCCUCAUUUUUAAAAGUUUAAUUUUACAUCUCUUACAAAUACAAAUUCAUAUCAGUUAAAUUUGGUCCCUACGUAGGUUUUUGACUGUCUUUUGGCCGGAACCCAAACACAAUUAGCAUUAUUCUCAAAGAUAUGUGUAAAUUCCAUCUUAUCUUUGCUAAUGUCAAGAGCCUAAUCUUCAAAUCCAAAAACUUACUAAAGCAAUUAAAUUAAGUAUUUGUACUAAGAUUUUUAUUUCCCUCUUUCUUUCAAGUAAGGUGGGGUGAGAUGAGCAAUCCAUAGCAUUCUUCAAUCUUCAAUAUAGAGAAUAGGAGUCUUUUCUUUAAGGGUGUGUUUGAUAAAAUUAAAGUUUGAAAACUGAAAUCUAAAGUCUGAAUUCUGAAUCCAUUAAAUUACUGAAUUAGUAAGUACUAAAUUUGAUACAUUUAAUUAUAUAUCACAUUAAGUAAUAAGUAAAUAACUUAUCAUUUGUUUUUUAAAAUAAGUUUACAUAGAAAAUUCAAUGCCAUUUAAUUAAUUCAUAUGUUUUAGUUUUAGUUAUCAAACGUGUCUGAACAUAUUAAAAUUUAAAUCCAUUAAAUUUAAGUACUAAUUGGGUUAUCAAACAGGAUCCAAACUCAACAGAGUUUCAACUAAAAAUCAAUAGGUCCGUUGGGCUAACAUAAUUUGCUAAUAAUAAUAAUAAUAAUAAUAAUAAUAAUUUCAAAUAUUAUUCAGUCUGUAUUACAAACACAAUUUUUAAAAAUCUUUUUAUCUCAUAUACAUCACAUUAAAAGUACUACAAUGUUACAUUUCUUUUACCGAUUCUUUGGACUAUGAGAUUCUUUUCCCAUGCUUGCUCAAAGAAAUGAGACAUGAGCCUUUAGUCUUCAUUCUCCAGUUGAACUUAGAUGCUUUAGACUUUUAGUGGAGCACUUCUUUCAGGUAAAAAUAAAUUUCACAAAAACAUUUAUAUAAUUAUAGAAACUAUUGUUCUCUUGAUUUUGGAUCAUAAAAUAUUUAAAGGUCUAACAUAUUGAUUCCUAUGUUGUUGAACCUCAUAGUAAUUAUCCAAGAACCUUUUGCAAUAACAUCCUGCCAAGAGAUUCAUAAUCCAUGCUCUAUUGCAUGUUGAAAAUCAAACAAAAAACCUUGCCCAGUCCCACGAAAAUCACAAUACUGUAGCACAUAUAAUUAGUUAAUCUCUGGUCUUCGUAGAGUACAUAUAGUCUCUGUUUGAACCAUUUCUUUAGCCCAAAAAGGAAAUUUAUAAGCAGUGAAAGAAAUGACCACAUGAACAAAACAGUAUGACAAAAUAUACUUUAUCCUCCUAUGAUUUAGCGCUGAUAGAGCAAUUGUUGGGUACCAUUUGCGAUGUUAUUUGGUCAUAAUCUUGGUUACUUACUGUGUUAAGUAUUGAGAUUUUGCUCAAAUUUGAUAUUUGUGUAAAUUGCAGGCGGUUGGUGUUAAAAGUGGUAUUUUGGGGAGAAUUUUCAGAAGAUUUUUCAUCUCAGGGCAUGCCAACACCAGAAACUAUAGAAGAAUACCCAAAAGCCUGACUCGCGGGAUUGGUAGCAGCAGGGCCAAUUAGGAAACCCUAGACAAAGUCUUGCUCCCUGACGUUUCUUUGCUUUUCUUUUCGGCGGCUACAAAAGGGGAAGAAGGCCAGAUUCACGCCAUAUGAAUUAGAUUAGUUUUUAGCUUCUUUUCUUCGAUCAGACUUUUUCUCUACUUUUCGGCGGCGAACAGAGGAAAAGCCAGAAUCACGCGAGCUUAAUAGAUUAGCCUUUAUUUCCUCCUGUCAGACAAUUUUACUCGCGGCUUUGGCUCUUGUUUGCAGCCGACUUCCUGUAGUGCUUUUCUUUUACUUUUUGCUUCAGUAAGAACACAGACCGAGAGAUAAUCAAGACUUUUCCUUUUGCUUUCGACGUUACUUUAUUUUUCCCAAUUCUUUGGCAAUUGCAUGGAUGGAAUCAAUUAAACCACACGAGAGUAACACGAUGAGGAGCGGCUAGAUUUCUCCUCUACCCAAAGGUUGACGCGAAGGCGCGGUCCAUAACAUCUAUGAGAUCUAAUCGAAUUUUUAUUAUUUCUUCCGAUUCGUUACUAUUCGUGCGUUUCCUACAUUAAUUGUUCAUGGGUAUUUUAUUAAUUGAGUAUUAAUAGCCGGAUAUUUAAUUUAAUCUAAUAGCCCACUGCCACGUUAAUUAAAUUGAAUCCAUAAUUGUUUGUUUAGUUGACAACUAGUGGCAACCACCAUAAUUGAUUUUAUGUUGGGAAAACGUAAGAUCUAGUUUAAGUAAGAUCUAGUUUAAGUAAACCCUCUUAGCGUGUUUAUUGGUUAGAGUUGGGUUCUUCUAAUUUUAAUGCAACUGGAUAAUUAAAUUCCUACGGUCGUACCUAGGGUUGUUUUCUUGUUAAAGAAGCAGUCAAUGGUCGUACCUUGACUGUCGAAAAAGUAGGGAAAAACUGGUUGUCAGAGUUUGUUGAUAGUUAUAACCAACCUGGUGACGAAUGAAUGAAAUGUCUUUGCAUCGAUAAUCAUUUAAUUGGACCGUGUCUGAAAAGUUGAUCAUUUGGGUAGAAUUUUAUUAAUUGUUAUUUUUAGUAAAUUGUACUUGUUGAGUUAACUUUUGAAUUUUGUUUAUUUUAUUCUCAUUCCUAUUCCAUUAAAUAUCCCCCAAUUCUGUUUUAUUGACUUGGAAAGAAACAACUUUCUACUCGUUCCCUAUGAAAUCGACCCUACUUGCCACUGUCUGUUAGUUAGUGAAUUUAGUCAAGUAAUUAAUUCUUGUAUAUCGGAUUAAGCAAACUUUUCGGGAACAGGGUGAAUCAAGUAACCCAUUGUAUACCUAGAGUCCCUGCUCCAGUACUUAGAAUUGAUUAUUGACUUCUUUUGGUGGUAGUUAAGUUAUAUUAUUACUAUUGCACAGGCUCGACACCUAUCAAUUUUUGGCGCCGUUGCAGGGAAACGGUGUUUUGGUUAAUUUUGUUUCUUUCUAAGUUGUUCUCUUUGGAUUUGUCUGGCAUUUUUCUAGUUUAUGCCUCGUUCUUCUCGUACAAGCGAUUUGAUUUUCGAUCCUGAAAUAGAGAAGACUACGCGCCGAAUUAAGAAAGAGACUAGGCAGCUCAGAGAGGAGCAAUCUAGCACUGCAUCUCAGGGACUUGAUCCUGAGUUUGAAUCAACAGAUUCAAGUAGUGAUAAUUCAAGUGACCCAGGCCAAGAGAAUAUCUCUAUGGCGAUUGCAAGAACACUAAGGGAGUUGGCUGCUCCGGAAUUGCCCCAACAACCAUUGUGCAUCACAUUUUCAACUUUAGCUGAGAACACCUUAUUCGAACUGAAGUCAGGAUUGAUUCACCUUUUGUCCACAUUCCAUGGCCUCUCGAGUGAGGAACCACAUAAAUACAUCCAAGAGUUCGAUGUGGUAUGCUCCAGUAUGAAGCCUCCAGGAAUUAUUGAGGAACAAUCAAACUUAGAGCCUUCCCCUUCUCUCUCAAGGAUGCAGCAAAGGAUUGGUUGUAUUACUUACCUGCAGGCAGUAUUACAACAUGGACCCAACUGAAAAGAAAUUUUUGAAAAAAUUCUUUCCUGCAUCCCGGGCCGCAAGUCUAAGAAAGGAGAUAUGCAGCAUUAAUCAGUAUCCCGGAGAAUCCCUAUAUGAUUAUUGAGAAAGGUUCAAUAAGUUGUGUACUAGAUACCCACAACAUCAAAUUAGUGAACAACUAUUGAUCCAAUAUUUCUAUGAUGGACUCCAGUCGUCCGACAGAAGUAUCAUUGAUGCUGCGAGCGGGGGAGCACUGACAAAUAAGACCCCGAGAGAAGUAUGGCUGCUCAUUGAAGUUAUUGCAGAAAAUUCUCAACAGUUUGGCUUCCGUGAGAGUAACCCUACCCGUAGGGUUAACGAGGUAGAGACGUCAUCCAUUCAGUAGCAGCUAUCAGAGCUAACAUCUUUUGUUCGCCAAUUAGUUGUAGAGAACAUGCAUCAAGUCAAGGUCUGUGGAAUCUGCACAAACGUGGGCCACCCCAUUGACUCAUGCCCUAUGUUGCAAGAGAAGGGAGUUGAACAAGUGAAUAUGGCUAGGGGCGUGUCAGCGCCUAGUAGGCAGUACGAUCUAUACUCCAACAUAUACAAUCCGAGUCGGAGAGAUCACCCCAAUUUUAGCUAUGGAAACAGGCCACAGAAUUCAUUUCCAAAUCGUCCACCAGGGUUUCAAUAACCAUGACAACAAAAGCCUCAACCAUCAUCCUCAAAUUCAGGAAGCUCUUUGGAGGAUAUUGUUAAGAGCCUGGCCAUGAGUAUUGCUCAAUUCUAGCAGGAAACUAGAUCUGGUAUGAAAAAUCUGGAGACUCAAAUAAGCCACAUGGCGACUGCAAUUAAUCGCUUAGAAUCCCAAGUUUUUGAAAAAUUUCCAUCGCAACCCGAGACAAAUCCCAAGAAUGAAAGUGCUAUGACACUGAAGAGUGGCAAGGAAAUGGAGGGGUCAAAGGCCACGAACCUAAAGAAUAAAAGUGAAUAAGAGAUCGAAAAGGAGAUUGAAGAAAAAGAGCACAUUCGCGAAGACCCUAAGGUAAAAUUUACUCCUUCACCUCCUAUUUAAUCUAACUUACUUUCUUUUCCUUGCAGGUUGGAAAAGACAAAGAAGCAAAAUAAGGAAAAGGAGAUUUUAGAGGUAUUUUGAAAGGUAGAAAUCAAUAUCUCUUUGUUGGACGCGAUCAAACAAGCGCCAAAAUACGCUUAAUUCUUGAAAAACUUAUGCAUCAACAAGAAGAAGUAGAGGGGGGAUGAACAAAUUGUGGUAGGUAAGAACGUUUCAGCUAUUUUAUAAAGGAAACUAUCACCUAAAUGCGGAGAUCCAGACAUGUUUACUAUCCCCUGUAAGAUUGGGCGUUCUAAUAUCAAAAAUGCCAUGAUAGAUUUAGGGGUUUCUAUUAAUGUGAUGCCUAAAUUAUUAUAUGAUUCCCUAAAUUUAGGACCUUUAAAAGAAACAGGAAUAAUAAUUCAAUUGACUGAUCGUAUAUUUGCUUAUCCGGAUGGGAUAGUUGAGGAUGUUUUAGUGCAAGUAGAUGGAUUAAUUUUUCCUACUGAUUUUUAUGUGCUUUACAUGGAUGAUAGAAGUGCUCCAAAUCCAUCACCCAUUAUAUUAGGAAGGCCAUUUUUUAGUAUUGUCCAGACUAAAAUUGAUGUUAGUAAGGGUACUCUCACGAUGAAAUUUGAUGGAGAAAUAGUCCGAUUUAAUAUUUUUGAUACAAUGAAACAUCUUGUUAACUCUCAUUCUGUGUUUGCUAUUCAUGCUACUAAUCUCUCUGUGCAAGAAUUUUCUGAGUUUGCUUGUAGAGAUAAAUUCAAAGUUACUGCAAUCAAGUAUCAUGGAAUGAAAGCAAUUCAUGAGAUAAAAAAAAUUAAAAAAUUAAGAAAAAAUAUUGCACUCAAUGGAUACUUGGAUCCCGGAAGAGGGUUACCGAUUACAAGAAAAAUUGAAUUACACCCAGACUAAAGAGUGGUGUUUAAUGUCUAGCCAAAAACAUUAAAGAAAUGCGCUACUUGGAAGGCAAUUCAAGGAUUUCAAUUGUAUUUUAUUUCAUAUUUGUGUGUUCAAGAUCAGUGGGUUUAGGUUCUUGUUGACAAACAAUCUGUAUUGUAGGUCAUGAGUGUUUCUGUGCAGUUUUAUUCUAGGUUGGGGGCACAAAUUCGUGGGCAGAAGACUUCAUGUUACAAGGCGUGCCCGCGCCUUGUAUUCACCGCACAUGGACAUUUGUAAAAUUUGGUGAAUAGAGGACUUACACCCCCAAGGCAUGCCCACGCCACACAGCAGAUCGUGUCAGACAUAUUACACCACGAUAGGUAGAUGACCUCGACUUCCAAGGCGUGCCCAUGCCUUCCAACCUUUGCGACAACAAAAGUCAAACGCGACCAGGACCCUCUCUAAUCCUAUUUUUCUACUUUUUUUAUUUUCUUGUUUUGUUUGGUCUUUUUAAUUUCUUUUGUCUUAGUUUCCCCUUGUCUUCUCCCCCUUUGCUUCACUCCCCCUCGUGCGCCCCAGCUCGCGCAGCACCUCACACUACCGCUCGCUCGACCUCCAGCCUAAGCCAGCUGACGAACGACUCAGCGCACGCCUUCCCCUGUGCGGGAAGCCUAGCGAACCCCAGUUUUGCAGCGCUGCAAGUUUUCGCACGUAUUCGGACAGAGAGUUAGGCAGCUUUCUUUCCUCAUAUUGGAUUCCAGUCGCCUCAUCCGCCUCCCUCUUAGUGGUUUGCUGCAUCGUCUUGGCUGUCAGGGAAGUUUCACCCCUUUAUACUUACAAUCUAUUUGUCUUUGCUACAUUGAGGACAAUGUACGUUUUAGGUGUGGGGGGUAUGGUUUCUAUUAUUUCUUUUUGCUUAAAACACAAAAAAAAAAGCAAAGAAAACAAAAAUAAAAAAAAAGUGUAGUUAGUUGACUUUUUCUUUUGUUUCUACAUUUGUUAACUGCUAGAGUAUGUUGCUAUGAUGGAUUGCACAAUCAGGGUGCACGGGUGUGUGGUUAUAUAUGCUAGCUAUGCUUUUUGGUUUUUCUUGGCAAUAUCGUUGAAUGUUGAAUAUGCUAGACUUGACCCAUUUUUGAAACUUUUGAGAGCUUUUGAGCCAUACACAAGCACAUUAUUCUUGUUUGCUUCGUUUAUUUGAUUGAGUGGGUAUCACACAUGGUAUUGGCUUUCUAGAACUUGCUAUUUUAUAUAUGUUGAGGCCACAUUUUGUAGAACUGAAUGCAUUUGAAAUGAUAAGGGCAUUUAGGAUCUAACCCUCUUUAACUUGCUACAAACCAUGCCUUUAUUCUGUUUCCCAAUAGUGAACCAAUUUGAGCUUUUAACCUUUCCUUUUGUUUAUUGGAUGUGAUCGAUAACCCAUUACUUUUUUUAGACUUUCUUGUUCACCCUUGUGUCGUUAAGGGAAGUUUGAAUUUCAUCGUUUGUGCAAGGCAAAUGAAUUUAGGGUCGCAAGUGUUGUUAGAGUAGAAUUUGUAUGGUGCCGUUUCUAUGCAUCUGGAACAAAAAAAGGAGAAAUCGUCAAUAAGCUGGUGAGCAGAAGACUCUGUCUUCAUCUCAGGGCGUGCCCACGCCAGAAACUGUAGAAGGAUAUCCAAAAGCCUGACCCGCGGGAUUGGUAGCAACAGGGCCAAUUAGGAAAUCAGGUCCACGUGAACCGCUAAGAUGCAUGGGAUGAAAACCCCUGGACAAAGUCUUGCUCCUUAACGUUUCUUUGCUUUUCUUUUCAGUGGCUACAAAAGGGGAAGAAGGCCAGAUUCAUGCCAUAUGAAUUAGAUUAGUUUUUAGCUUCUUUUCUUCGGUCAGACUUUUUCUCUUCUUUUCGGCGCCGAAUAGAGGAAAAGCCAAAAUCACGCGAGCUUAAUAGAUUAGCCUUUGUUUCCUCUUGUCAGCAAUUUUACUCGCGGCUUUGGCUCUUGUUUGCAACCGACUUCCUCUAGUGCUUUUCUUUUACUUUUUGCUUCAGUACGAACACAGACCGAGAGAUAAUCAAGACUUUUCCUUUUGCUUUCGACGUUACUUUAUUUUUUCCAAUUCUUUGGCAAUUGCGUGGAUGGAAUCAAUUAAACCACGUGAGAGUAACACGAUGAGGAGCAGUUAGGUUUCUCCUCUACCCAAAGGUUGAUGCAAAGACGCGGUCCAUAAGAUCUGUGAGAUCUAAUCAAAUUUUCAUUAUUUCUUCCGAUUCGUUACUAUUCGUGCAUUUCCUGGAUUAAUUAUUCAUGGGUAUUUUAUUAAUUGAGUAUCAACGGUCGAAUAUUUAAUUUAAUCUGAUAACCCACUGCCACGUUAAUUAAAUUGAAUCCGUAAUUUUUCGUUUAGUUGACAACUAGUGGCAACCACCAUAAUUGAUUUUAUGUUGGGGAAACGUAAGAUCUAGUUUAAGUAAACCCUCUUAGCGUAUUUAUUGGUUAGGGUUGGGUUCUUCUAGUUUUAAUGCAACUGAAUAAUUAAAUUCCUACGGUAGUACCUAGGGUUGUUUUCUGGUUAGAGAAGCAGUUAAUGGUCGUACCUUGAUUAUUAAAAAAGUAAGGAAGAACUGGUUGUCAGAACUUGUUGAUAGCUAUAACAAACUUGGUGACGAAUGAAUGAAGUAUCUUUGCAUCGAUGAUCAUUUAAUUGGACCGUGCCUGAAAAGUUGAUCAUUUGGGUAGAAUUUUAUUAAUUGCUAUUUUUAGUAAAUUGUACUUGUUGAGUUAGUUUUUGAAUUUUGUUUAUUUUAUUCUCAUUCUUAUUCCAUUAAAUAUCCCCCAAUUCUGUUUUAUUGAUUUGGAAAGAAAUAACUUUCUACCCGUUUCCUGUGGAAUCGACCCUGCUUGCCACUGUCUGCUAGUUAGUGGGUUUAGUCAAAUAAUUAAUUCUGAUAUAUCGGAUUAAGCAAAUUUUUCGGGAACAUGGUGAAUUAAGUAACCCAUUGCGCAACUAGAGUCCCUACUCCAGUACUUAGAAUUGAUUAUUGACUACUUUUGGUGGUAGUUAGGUUAUGUUAUUAUUAUUGCACCUCUCAUAUGAUUUUAAAGCUAUAUAUAACGCCCUCAUAAUUUGGAUUAAAGUGUCAAAAUGACAAAAUUUGCAUUCCAUAAUAUAGUCAACUAAAAUGUCAAAAAUGUCUCUAUGUAAAGUUGAAAAUUAUUUAUUAACCACAGGCGUUUAUGUAUAUGGUUUGAAAACUAUAAGGGGAUUAUAUGCUAAAACAAUAAAUCAUAAAGGGAUUUUAUGAUAAACUAUAAAAUCAUACAGAGUUAGAGUGUCAUGCAUAUUAUGUUUAUAUAUUUUGGUUGCUUCAAACAUUUUAGUUAUUAAACAAGGGUAAUUUGGAUAUUUUCAUGAAUUCUAUUGCAAAUGAUAAUUUUCGUCAUUUUGACACUUUAAUUUAAACUAUGAAGAGGUUAUAUAUAAUUUUUGAAACUAUAGAGGGAUUAUAUAAAAAAUUGCUCAACGAUGGGGGUAAAGUGUAUUUUGCCCAAAACAGUACUGCUAGAUUCAAACUGAUGGAAUCCUCUAUGGAUUGAAAUUGUAAAUACCCUUUUUCCUUUGACAGGACGAGACUUUCUUUGUAAAGGAUUCGAUUCUGCAAUUACUUAACUCGAGCUGAAUUCAUGUUGCUCCAUGAACUUUCAAAUCAAACUCGAUAACGAUGCAGUCUACUCUUUUUUUUUUAUAACAAUGAUGACAUUUCUAUAAUUUAAUUUAUCCUAUUCUACUCGAAGGGGAACUUAAUCUAUCCUAUUCUACUGGGAGGGGGAGCCUAAAAAGCCUAGGCUACUCUUUUUUUUUUUUACAACAAAAAUAACAUUCCUAUAACCUAAUCUAUCCAAUUCUAUUAUAAGGGGCUAGCAGACAUACAGAUCUAACUGGACCAAUGGGGUGUUUUAACACCUCCUUUGAAUUUUUUUCACUACAAGUAGGAUUUGAACCCCUGACCUAUAAGCCAAAGAGGAAUUUAGUCCUUUUUUGAUAGCCACUGAGCUAAGAACAAUGCCAUUUUCUCAAAACCAUUAAAACUAUAUUGAACGGAGUUUGGGGCAAGGACUAUUGUAGGUGGCAACACUUCGGAAAGGUUGACGGCAAUGAUUUGGUUUAAAAAAAAUUUAAGGAUCAAAUCUCAUCUUGUGCAUGAAUUUUAAUAUCAUAUAUGAGGUCCACAAAAUUUUGUUCUAUAUUUAUAAGUUGUUGAAAGAAAAUUACAUUCUAAACAAAGUAAGUUACAUCUUGUGCAAAUGAAACAAAAUCGGUCCGAAUGAUUUUUUUGACAAUCAUUUGGACCCUUGGUCCAUGGUGAACUUAUUACAAUAUAUAGAGACCUUCUCUUAUAGACUAUAUAUCACUGUACACCAUUACACUGAUAAUUGAGUUUGACUUGUGAGGCCGAUAACUGUGGUCCGUAAUAAAACUUUCAUAAGACGUACUUGGUUUCUGAAAUGUUCUUCACAUUUCAUCAAAUAAAAUUUUUCAUUCUUCACUUUUAAAAUGAAAUUUUAUGUUUCAUAUAAAAUCAAAUUAGUAAAAUUUAGUUGCAAUCUAGAUUUUUUACCUCUUUUUACCGUGAAUCCAUCCUGUGACCCAUAUGCAUUCAUUAUUUUAUGUAUGGAAAGGUUGAUCAGUUGCAUGAUGAAAAAUGAUCCACAAUGUACAAGGAGAGUCUCUGAUGCCACAUCAUACAUUUGCACUUGUUAGUAUAAAAAAAUCUUUACAUUGAUAAUAUAUACAAUAUUAAUCUUAUAUAUUUAUUAAUUCAAAGAAUUAUUGGAUUAGAAAACUUAAUGUGCAUUCAGAUACAUAGAUCAAGAAAAUAAAAUAAAAAGUGCAACGACAAUUGCAUAUCUUUCAUAUUGUAGGUUUCGAGCAAAUAUGUCUUGAUCGGGUUAAGGUAGUUGGUUUUGAUAUAGAUUUGAAUCAACUAUCGUAAUAUAGAGGGCAAAGGUUAUGGUUAGAUUAGUAGAUGACCUUAUAUUCUUUUCAAGUGGUCUACUUGAAUUUGUUUAAUAAGAUUGAAUCCAGAUAGAGGAUGAACUACAUUCAACACAGGAUAUGGUGAUGUUGAAUUAGAGUAAACUAAAAUUUAGAAAAGACUUCACUUAAAAGUAGCAAUAGACUUUGUUUUAGCAAACCUUAGGAGAGAUAAAUGUAGUUGAUUGAAUAUGUUUAGAAUAAUAAUAUACCAUCCAAAUCUAUUUUCAAUUGAGGUACCACAUAUGUUACAUUUAUGCAUUCAAAUCUACCAAUUGUGAUGCUUAAACAGCAACUUCUUGAUCAUAUAGUUGGGUUUCUAAUUUUUUUUAAUGCUUUGAGGGAUAAUUUCUAAAAGUUAGUUUUUUUAGGAGUACAAUGUCCUUUUUCUUUUUUUUUUGAAAUAUAAAUUCUAGCCAUAUAGAUAAGUGAGUUUGCUUCAGUAAUCUUUCAUUAGAAUACACUGACAAUGAAUUUCAAUGAUUUUCUUAUUGUCCCAUUCAUCAAUAGACUUCUAAUUACCCUUUGGACUAUUUACAUAAUACUAGCAUUGAGUUAUUCUUGCAAUAUUGCUCAUAAGAGGGACAAAACGAAUAUGACUCUCUACUUUGUAAGUUAAUUUGUUUGAACUUCAAGUUAAUAUUUUAAGUAAAGGAUAAAAGUAGCUUGAUAAGUAUAUAGUCUGUAUUUGAGGCUUACAAUGUUUUAGCAAAUGCUGGGUAAUCCCCUUACUAAUCAAAUUCAAUGAUCAAUUACUAAUUGAUUUUCUAGAUAAAGUGACCAUAUCCUUUAGUUAAGCAUUAAGAGAUGAGGCAAACCUAUCAUUGGAGAAGACCUUAGAAUAGUUGGUGAGGUGGUAAGGAGGUUUUCCUAAUUUUUCCUUAAUAAGAUUUUUAUUCCUCUUUUUUCUCAAAAUAAACUUUUUGGCUUUGGUAUUCUGGCUAUUUGAAACAUUUGCAAGUGACGUUCCAUGAAAACUGCAUUAGAGUUUACUUAUUCGAGAUAAGGCAAAUAAAUCACUCACAUGCAGUCACAUAUUUGUUGAAAAAAUUCUUAAAAGAGGAGCAAAAUAAUGAGUAAUCUUUAACAAUAAGAAUAACAAGCGUGCUAACAUGUUAGUAACUAAUUACUCAAGAAAAAAGAAAGAAAAUUUGUUAAUCUAUACUAAAAAUUAGGAAUCGCAUUUUUUUUUUUACUUGGAGACACUAGAGAUAGUUAGUGAAAAUUAAUUCUGGAUCAAUGAACUUGGUGUAUUGAUGUUUUAGUUUAAAAAUUUUCCUUCUUUUUAUUGGUUAAAUAGUUAACAAAUGAGUUAUUAGUUCUUAAUUUUAUUGUUUAAAGUUAGCUACUAUUUUGCUUCUUUAUUUUAAAAUUUAAUUUAAUAGGCACAUGAUUAGACAUGACUAAAUUUUGUUAGUAAUUGAGAUAAAAUUCUUCAAAUGUCCUAAAUCAACUUUAAAUUGGAUAUAAUGGGAACCGGAUUUGCUCUUGCUAAAACUUUAUGGACUAGAACUGCACAUGUACUAAAUAUUGAGGAUCAUGAUUGUUUUUGUUAAAACUUUAGGGACUAAAAUUGCAUAUGGACUAAAUAUUAAGAAUUAAAACUACAUUUUUUUUUUCAAAAAUGGAAAAUUUAUACCUACAAAAAAAUUAAAAGUGGCAUUCAGCAAAUACAGCUUUUCAACAAAUAGGAUUGGUUGAUUUCAUAUUAACUUUCAAAGACUUCUCUCAUUGUGAGAGGAAAUUUCUCUGUGCUCUAGAGAGAGAAAAUCUGUGGCACCCCCACUUCUCCCUAAGGCGAACCAAAGGGUAUCCACGGGACGCCUGCCUAACUCUCGCCAGGACUCAAGCAAUUCCAUUUCAACUUAUAGCCGGACCACACAAUACAAGCCAAUAACUUAGAUACAAUAAAUACGGAAGCGUUCAAGCUUAAUAAUCGUCAUCCAUUAUUCAAUCCACACGUCGGUAUACAAAAUACAUUUCGCCCCAAAAGUUACAUUUCCAUACCCAAAAGUACAAUCCAAAACCAAAGGUAUAACCAAGAGUAAUAGCAAACCCUAAACAAAAGUACAUUAGGAGGGUUUCUCCAUUUCACCUCCGAGUUCAAACCUGUUAAGGAAAACAAAUCUACAGGGUGAGCAAAACGCUCGUGAGGCCAAGAACACACAUGCAGGCACAUAGCUCAGGUAACAAGCCCAAUUUACAAUUCAAGUAAUAAUUUGAAAGCAAUUAAUAAUGCCAACAAAAUGUAACCAAAAACAAUUCAAGAAUAUAGUAGCUCUCAGGAGCUAAGUUCCACAUUUUGCCGAUGUCAUUCGUAUAUCUCCCCGUGAUGACUCUCCGUCACUCGGGUUGAUAUUUUCAUAUCCGUAGUUCACCACUUACUUCUCAUCCGUCCACCAUACACCGCUUCGGGCCCGCACGACAUUUAUAAGGCGAUACUACACGAGUAUGCCAAGCGAGAUCUCUCAAUAGAUCAAGCUUAUCCUGUGAAUCUCAUGGCUCACCGAGGUUCUCAACCAAGCCCAUGCCGGCUCGAGUUCCAAGGUCGGCCUAUGAAUUUGGGCGUCCCUCGUGUAUAUGUAAGUGUCAAGGAGGUUCACUCCAAUGACGUAUGCAAUCAUAGCAUACUAUGUCAUGUAUUCAGGUAUUUGACAGUUUUAAGCAGUAUUUCAAGUCAUGUAAACCAGGUAAAUCAUAUUAAGCAUGAAUCAUUUGUUUCAAAUGAGAACGAGUGCGAUAAAGUACACACUCGACUCCAUUUUCAAAGAAUCAAGUAGGCUAAGCAUGUAAUCAAGACCAUAGAGUUCAAGUAGUCAAACACUUGACACUCACCAAGAUAUGCAAGCAAGUAGGUUGGAUUGAGAGUUCAAACUUCCACGGUAGGGUCCUCUUGGAGGUCCUCGUGCGUGCCUGAACAUUGAAUAGUAGACAAUUACUAUAGGUCCCCAAGUGGUGUGAAAGGUUGAACACGAGUAGGGUUCGGAAGUAUUUUGAAAUUUCGUUUAAACUUGUCUUUGAAGUUGGAUUCUCGAAAAGGUACGAGACUCGAGUAAUAUCGGAUUUUUAUUUUUUUUAAAAUCAUUGGAUGGAAACGAGUACGUGCGAAACGAUUGCAAAACGAACGAUCGAAAUCGGAAGGGGGAUGGCCACGUCACAAUCCGGCCGGAACCUGGCCGGAUAUCCGGCCGGAUUUCUGGCCGGAUUGGAGGCAGUGGCUAACCUCCCUUUUUUUCAAAUUUUACCACCAAUCCGGCCGAUAAUCCGGCCAGAAACUGGCCGGAUUCUGGUAGAAUAGUUCCCAUGCAGAUUUCCUUUGAAAUUUCAGAAUUUUUCGAUUUUUGGUCAAAUUUUUGAAAGAUCAUAACUUCUUUUCUACUAGUCAAAAAUUGAUAAACUUGGUACCGUUGGAAUCGUCUUUGAAAGUACUAAAAGUUCCUAGAAGACACUGUUCCACGAAUCUAAAUGGAAGGUAUUCAAAAUGAGUUUAAAGUUGCUGUCCCAGAUCACCCAAGAUUGAGCCGGGGUUGGUUUUUUGCUAACUUUGGAAAUUCGGCAGAAUUCACUCAUUGCAAACCAGCCCUUGAAAUUUAUAGCUCAAUUAGAGGUGCAAGUAAGGUUUAGGGCAGAACAAAUGGAUCGAGAAUCGGAGUUUCGAGCACCAAGAUAUGGUAGCUCAAAGUUGGGAAAAAUUCAAGACUGUUACAAAAUUUUCAGAUUUGGUUCCGACUUUGGACCUUUUGUUAAGUGUCGAAACAGACUUGAAUUGACACCAAAUUUUGUAGUAUGGUACUCCUAUAUGAAGGGUAUUUCUCUAUCAAAUUUCGUGGAAAAAUACCUUCGGGAAGGUGGUUAACCAAUCAACCAAAGUUUGGAAAAAUUCUCAAGGCAAUCUGCCCUUAAUCCUUUUCUUCCCAAAUCCAAUCGUUUGGCUAAGAAAAUCCUCCAAUCAUGGUUCAUAUGUGAAAGGAAAGUUUAAGAAACAUUCAUGGUACAUUUGGUAGGUGUUUAGUACCAAGAAAUUCAUUUAGUAAGACCACCACAAAUGUCACGUCAAAUCUGUCCAAAUCCAAGGCUUUCAAGAACAAAACAGUCACCGUAUCUUGAUCAUAACUCACUCAAUUUAACUCGGAUUUGAGCAUGGUUGAUAGUGUUAGAAAAUACAUGCAUAGGGAUAUAAUUUCACAGAAUAAAUCGUUUUAAGUUUCAGCAUGCAACUAGCUCGAAAUUAAGCCUAAAGUUGCAGCAUCAUCAAAUCAUUUCGGCAGAACGGCGAAACAGGGCAGCUGAAUUCAGAUGAGUGGUGCGGUUCACACACAUCGAACCAGAACAUGCAUUAUAUACCGUUGGAAAGAUGGGAACAUCUAGUUUCAAAUUCCGCUAACGGCACUUGAUUUCGACGUCGGAGUACGGAGUUAUGGACGAAAUACGAACACUGGUCUGGAUUACGACGAAACCGUUUUCCAGAUUACUAGCUUUGGGAAUAAAUUCGUUUGACCAACCAAAACUCAGUAUUUUUCAAUGAAAAUUUUUACACAACUACUACAACAUAUAAACAACACAAUCAAGCCAUUAAAUCCUCAAAUUUCUGCAUUAAAGUGACCGAACAAAGCAGGGGUAAAAUGGGAACUUUUUGCUUCAAGAGCUCAAUGAAGUUUCUGGCGAUAAUGCACCUUUAAUCUACUCCCUUAAACACUAAUUCAACAAUAAAACCAUCAUCAAACAUCAUCACAGCCAUCAACUCAAAGUGGGAGUUCAUAGAGCCCACAUUUAACAAUUUCUAACAAUAAUAAGCUACCCAUAAGCAUAAUCAAGCUCUUAAGUGUGAGUUGGCCUUCAAUGAACAAGAUUUGAAGAGUGGAUCAUGGUUACCUUACUUGUGUGCUAAAAGGUCAGAUUUUGGUGUCCAAAAGCCCCAAGAAAAAUCGUGAAUGUGCAGCUCCUUCUUUGUCCAAGUGAUUGUCCAAGUGAAGAGCUAAGUGUGUGUGAAGUUUUGGUUGAAUUUGGUGGAGUUUGUAGAGGAAAUGGUGGAAGUUUUCGGUUGCUCUUUGCUGCAGUUGCUAGCCGUCCAUGAAGCUUGCAGAUAUGAAUGUUAGUCUGAUUCCUUUUUGCGUACAAAGAACGCCGACCGUCUAAUAUUUUAAGUACGUAAAAUUUAAUUGCAACUAGUGCCCUACUCGCGCGUUUUGUGUUCAAUUUCCCUUAAGUUUGUUGCACUAGUGCACUAAACCUCUAGGGCACUUACAUUCAUAUAAAUAUUAUUCAUUCUUAAUUGUCCCAAAAUAAUUGUCCAAAGUCCCUCAAUUAAGCGCGCACGUGAAAACACGUAUUUCCAAUUUAGGCGCAAUAAAAUGAAACCUUCGAGAAAUUCUUAUAACGAUCGUACCACUAGCUAUCACUUGUGUGCUUAAACCUAAAAUUGUCUAUUUUAGGACCAUUGUAUAUGUCUCAAAUUUUUGAACUUAUUGUACUCCCAAUUGGCCAAAGUUUUCAGACACGUUUUCACUUUUCACUAAUCAGGCUUUUUUUUUAAAAAAAAUAAUUUUUGAAAUGAAAUACUUUAAAAAUAUAACGAUACUAUAAAUCAUGUACUUAGGUCCAAUAAGGCUUAAAAAAAUAUUAUUCGUGACAAAAAUCCAAAUAAAUAAUUAAUUUAGCCAAAAUUAGGGAUUUUUAAAAUAAUAGAAUUUUCGAGUCCUCACAAAAUCCCCCUUUUGUCGGUGUUCAUACUUUUCAUACGUUUCGCACUUUUCCCAACAAAAUUCAAAAUCCUGAUCUAUCAGCUCUUGGCGCCAUGAGUAACAACCUUCCAUUAAUAGAAACUUAACGAUUCCUUCCUUCCAUUAAUGGAAACGUACCGAUCUCAGCAUUUCUUCUGGAAUAAGCUUUGGAUGCUCUAAUGAUGGCAGCCAGAUCAAUCGUUCUCUUUUAGUUUCGUUUUGAAUAAAAAGCAGUCGUUGCUGAUUUUAUUUCUUUUGCUUCAAGUUUUAUCCAGUAGAGCUAGGUUCGUGUUUAAUUUCGUUCUGUGUGUUUUGAUUGUUUGUUUCAGGACUGGUUGGUACUGGUAUUUGUUGGCGACAUUGAAGGACGCUGAAUAGCUCCUGGCCUGGCCUACUCUGGAAGCUUCCUGUGAUUUCCAGUGAGAGGUCUAUGGGAAGGACAAUGGAAGGUAUCGAGGAGGUUUUACGCAGAUUCAGGUUGUCAGAAAAGGAAAGAGUAUGAGUCCAGUUAGAGGAGGGGGAAGUGGCAACAUGUGUAUUAGAAUGUAAGCAAAGUUUAAUAGGUAAAGUAUGGGGAAAUUAACCGGCUCACAUAGGUGGAGUUAAGAGCUUUGUGCACAGUAUGUGAUCUCGGGUGAAGCACUUAAAAAUAGUGGAGAUUGGGCGUAAUAUGUUUCAGUUUAUAUUUGAUAAGGAAUAGGAUAUAGAGGUGGUGUUGAACAGGAGGCCAUGGAUCUAUGAUGGACAGCCUUUAGUGUUGUUGCGAUGGGAACUUGGAUUGGAGGAAAAUGAGGAAAUGCUACGUAAAACCUUAAUCUGUGUGCAGAUCUGGAACAUACCUUUGCAUUGGGCAACAAAGGAAGCUGGUAGGAAGAUUGGGAGUAUAUUCCAACAGGUGAAGGAGGUGAUUAUUCCACAGAAUGGAGGUAAGGAAGGUAAACACCUAAAGGUUCUAGUUGAAAUUGAUCUUUCCACCCCCUACCUAGAGGUGUUAUGGUAAACAGUAAUGGUAUUAAGAGAUGGAUUGAAUUCAAAUAUGAGAAGUGUCCAGAUUUUUGUUUUGGUUGCGGUUUAAUUGGUCAUGGUUAAAGGAUUUGUAGCAAAAGAGGAUUGGAUACUGAAAAGGCAUCACAAUAUGGGAACUAGCUGAGAGCUAGUUACCCUAGAAGUCCUAACAGGAGGAACAGGUCUGAAAAUAGGAAUGAGGAUAGGGGAGAGGAAGGGAGCCAUAAUCAUGAUAGUAGGGAAGUGAGGAGGGAGGGGGAACAAUUUUUACUAACAUACACUGAUGAUUUCCAUAAGAAGGAGGAUCUCAAGCACACUGUCUAGGUGGAGUUGAUUGGCGACAGUGGAGCAUUGAUGGGGGGUAGAGAGGGGAUGAAGAGGGGAUCUGCUGAGAUUGGGGAGGGGAGAGGGAAAGGUAAACAGGGAGAGGAUGGAUUAGACAAGGAAGGGACAAGGAUUAUUGAGGUAAGGAAGGGUGAUGGGAGGAAAGAGAGGCAAGGAGUAUAGUAGGAGAAGGAAUGCUCAGAAGUAGGGGUAGGGGACUUAGCUGAUUUGAUGUGGAUUGAUGGAGUAAGGGGUAAGGGAGGUGAGGAUAGUGCUGUGAUAAAGGGAACAGGAGGGAAGGAAGAAGAACUGGUAACUAAGGGAGAGGAGGAGAGAGGAAAGGGGGUAAGCAGAGAGGAAGACCAAAAGGGAACCAUUCUGUAAGCAAGAGUUGGAGAAGGCUGGUAUUGGAGGUAAGUAAAAGGAAGCCACUGAUUGAGGCAAACAGUGAGCUUACUGACAAUAAGAAGGGGAAAAGGAAGGUAGGAGCUUUGGGAAGCGAGGGGGAAUGGACUUAGCAGAGAAGGAAAACUGGAAAAGAGCUAGAACUAAGAGUGGAUCCUGUGAUUGGAUGGAAGUAGCUGAGGGAUUGGAGUCCUCCAUUAACAGGACUCCAACAAUCAAAUGAAGGCUGUGGUGUGGAACUGUCGAGGUGUUGAAAGCCCCUUGACAGUUCCCCAACUGAGGGAGGUCGUGAGACUCCUCUCCUUCUUUAGUAUUCUUAUCAGAAAUAAAAAAGAAAAAAGUUACCUGAAUAGUGUGAUGCAAUGGAUUAGGUUUGACAAGGUAUUUGUGUUUGAUCUAGUUGGCAGGGCAAGGGGUUUGGUUGUGAUUUGAAAGUAGGAACUGAGGGUGAAAAGGAUGUUAUUUACCAGUUUCACCAUAGAACUGCUAAUAGAGGACACAGAAUUUGGUUUUGAUUGGUGGUGCAUAUGUGUAUAUGCCAGUUCAGAUGUAGGAAUCAGGAAAGAACAGUGGAAUGUAAUUCACAGAAGAAGUGCUAUAUAGGGGGAGCAUUGGGCAAUCAUGGGAGAUCUGAAUGACAUUACUUCUAAUAGGGAAAAGUGGGUAGGUAAUCUGAGAGCUGAGGUGAGGUGCCAAGAUUUUAACUCCUUCAUCAACAACAAUGAACUAGUGGACAUUGGUUUUGAGGAAGUUCCUUGGACAUGGUGUCAUAACUGGGGGAAUGAAGGAGAGGUAAAAGAGAGGUUCGAUAAGAUUCUAGGAACAAAGGAAUGGAUACGGAAGAUAGAUAAGGCAAAGUGUUUGCAUGUGGGAACUAAGGCUUCAGAUCACUGCAUGUUGGUGUUGGAUACAAAUCCAGGGGGGAGGAAGUGUAAGAAAAGGUUUAUGUUUGACAGAAGAUGGUUACUGAAUAAGGAUGUAAAGGAGGUAGUGGGGAGAGCUUGGGGAGAGCACACAACAAGGAUCCAGGCUAUAUACGGUUCAGUGUAAAAUAAAAAAAGUAAGAAUGAAUCUCCUGAGCUGGAGUAGAAAAAGCUUCAGUAACUCUAAGAAAUUGAUAGAGCAGGUUAAAAAUGAAAUAGAGAAGGUUAAGUUGAAUAAGCUAAGUGGCUUUAGGAUUAAACUAUUGGGGUUGAAGAGGAAACUGGCUAAUGCCUAUAAAAAGGAGGAAUUAUUUUGGAGCCAGAAGGUAAGGCUAAAAUGGUUAAAGGAAGGGGACAAAAACACUGGUUAUUUUCAUACUACUGUGGUUGGUAGGAGGAAAGCAAAUAGGCUUAGAGCAUUGAAAAGAAGGAAUGGGGACUGGUGUAGAAGUGCGGAGGAAUCUAGGGAAGAGAUUUUAGACUACUUUGAGCAAAUUUUCACUUCAGAUAUCCUAAGGAAUUUGCUGAAGUGUUGCAAGAAAUCCCACAGACUAUCUCAGCUGAGAUGAACAGGAAGCUAACCAAGGAAGUCUCAGAACAGGAGAUCUAUCAGGCAGUGUUUUCAAUGCAACCAAACAAAUCUCCUGAACCAGACGGUAUGUCUCCUUGUUUCUUCCAAAAGUUUUGGCAAAUUGUUAAGUCUGAUAUUGUUCCAACUGUCCAAAGUUUCUUUCAUUCUGGUUUCCUUUUGAAAUCUAUUAAUAAGACUCUGAUCAGUCUGAUUCCUAAACUUGAUUCCCCUACUUUAGUCACAGAGUACAGAUCUAUUAGCUUGUGUAAUGUUUCAUAUGAAAUCAUUGCUAAAGUGCUAACUAACAGAUUUAAAAAUGUCCUGAAACAUUGCAUUAGUGCUUCUCAGUCUGCCUUUGUUCCAGGCAGGCAGAUUCUGGACAAUGUGUUGAUUGCUCAUGAAAGUGUUCAUUUUUAAAAAAAUAAAAGGAUUGGAGGGGAUGGUUAUAUGGUUGUCAAGUUAGAUAUGUCCAAAGCUUAUGAUAGAGUGGAAUGAGUGUUUCUAGCUAAAUGGGAUUCUAUCCUAGGUGGAUUCAAUGGAUUAUGGAAUGUAUUACUAGUGUGACAUAUUCUGUAAACAUUAAUGGGAAAAAAACUGGUUUCAUUAGACCUACUAGGGGUCUAAGACAGGGGGAUCCAUUGUCUCCUUACCUUUUUUUUGAUCUGUGCUGAAGGAUUCUCAUCUCUGAUCAAACAAGCUAACAGUCAAGGCAAUCUGUGACGACCCCACCUCCCCCUAAGACGAACCAAAGGGUUCGGCAGACCGCCUUCCCAACUCUCACCAGGGCUCACUCACAUAUCACUUUAAGAGCAAGUAAAGAUGUGCCAAUCAAACUUAACAUAUAUACAAUCAUUAACACAGAUAUACAAUCCUCAAGGUUAAGUACAAAAUUUUAGGAUCCAAUCAAUUACUAAUACUAUCACUAUUACACAACAAAAGUUCUAAUCAAAAGUUUAAUCUUCCUCUAAUCAUUCAUCCUUGCUCUCAAACCCUGUAAGGAAAACAAAUGUAAUGAAAUAGAGGGGUGACCUAAAGUUCAGUGAGGUUCCUAUACACAUAACCAAGCAAUUAAAACAAGAACAUUAUUCAUUUAAUAAUAAUCAAUCGAGAAACAUUCACAAUAUAAAAAUAAUGAAAACACACUCAUUAAAAGGAUACAUGUUCACGUAGAGUCCUUCGUUCCAUCAUUCAUUUAUUCAGCCCAUCAUUCUCCCACAUUCCAUCAUUCAUUUUUUUCCUUAUAACUUUAACAUCUCAUUUCAUUCAUUUCAUUUCCCAUCACUAACCAAUUCACUGACCAGUUCUCCACCAACUUUCGUGGUCAUACUCGAAUAUAUCAAAACACUGUCCCAAGAUCACCAGUAGCCCGACCGAGUCUACUUCUGGAUUGAGUCAACUGGCAACGAAGGGCAAGUGCCCAAUUCAGCAAAAAGGCUUACAUUCAUGCACAAGUAGUAUUCAAUCAUUGAAAAUUCACUUUUUGGCUUGGGUCGAGUGCGAUAAAGUACAUAUUCGCCCAUCGAAAAUCUAUUUAACAAUCAUUAGAAAGCAUUUAACAUUCAAACAAUCACUCAUAGAUAUUCAUAUAGUCACUUAUUGCAUAAACAUGCAAGGAACACUCAUCCUAAACAAGUCACGUUUUAUCAAAAUUCAUUUCAGGGCCGGCACCUUGGCCACUCUCGUAAUCUGCAGUCAAAUAUUGUCCACAAAGAGCCAAUCAUACACGAGUGCAAGUUGCAUAACUUAUAUUUCUAUAUCAAAGGAAAAGGUAUGAAAAGUAUAGUAAGUCAUAUAGGCAAUUGCACACAUAAUUUGUAAAAGAAAAUGAUCAAAACGGUUAAAUUCAAAGCCAAUAUGUGCAACUAAAACCCAUGUUUUGAAUACUUGUUUAGAAUGUUAGAAAUCAGAUUUAGAACACUUGAGAAGUACAUGUUAAGUUGGACCAAAAAAAUGAAAAACAAGAGAAAGGCAACGAAAAACAAUGAAGAUGGCAGCUUUGCCAUCUUUUGGUGUUUUGGUCACAACUGAAGCUACAUUUAUCGGAUUGAGGCAAAUUUUAUGGAGUUUCAAAGUUAAGAUCUAGACCUACAUUUUCUGUAGAGAUAACAACAUCCAGUUCUCGCAUUUUCAGGGUAAAAAAUGGACUGUCAGAAUCACAUGAAAAAUAGGUCAGUGUGAUAAAGUACACACUCACCUAUCGAAAAUCUAUUGAACAAUCAUUAUAAAGCAUUUAACAUUCAAACAAUCACUCACAGAUAUUCACAUAGUCACUUAUUGCAUAAACAUGCAAGAAACACUCACCCUAAACAAGUCAUGUUUUAUCAAAAUUCAGUUCAGGGCCGGCACCUUGGCCACUCUCGAAAUCUGCAGUCAAAUAUUGUCCACAAAGAGCCAAUCAUACACGAGUGUAAGCUGCAUAACUUAUAUUUCUAUAUCAAAGGAAAAGGCAUGAAAAGUAUAGUAAGUUAUAUAGGCAAUGUGCACACAUAAUUUGUAAAAAAAAAAUGAGCAAAGCGGUGAAGUUCAAAGCCAAUAUGUGCAACUAAAAUCCAUGUUUUGAAUACUUGUUUAGAAUGUUAGAAAUCAGAUUUAGAACACUUGAGAAGUACAUGUUAAGUCGGACCAAGGAAAUGGAAAACAAGAGAAAGGCAACGAAAAAUAAUGAAGAUGGCAGUUUUGCCAUCCUUUGGUGUUUUGAUCACAACUGAAGCUAUACUUAUCGGAUUGAGGUAAAUUUUAUGGAGUUUCGAAGCUAAGAUUUUAGACCUACAUUUUCUGUGAGACAUCAAUACCCAAUUCUUGCAUUUCUAGGGUAAAAAUGGAUGGUUAGAAGCACAUGAAAAACAGGUCAGGAAAAUUAGAAUUUUUUGCGCAAUCAGGAGUUCUCUAGCCAAAUCAUAAGCUAAAAUGAUCCAAUUAAUCUGAAAUUUUGCAGGUAGAAAGUUAACUUAAAUCCCUAUAAUUUUCAUGUUUUAUCCAAAAGCUGAUUCAGUUUAAAACAUGGAGAAAUUCACAGCCCAAAUUGAUUCCAAAAACAGGGUAGAACUAACAUUCACCACCAAAUGCUGGAAUUUUGCAUAUCAAUCCUAAAACUACUCAUCAAAGCUGGAAAUUGCUUGACAAAGCUGAAAUUUCAUCUUUUAAGGCUAAAUAUCACAAUCAAACCACUAAUCAUCUUACAAAUUUCAUAUCCAAUCUCUCUACCAACAUUGGAUAGCUAAACAACAUAAUCAAGGCUAAAAAAUUACCAAACCCUAGCUGAAAUUUCAUAAUCAACACCAAAACUAGAGUAUCAUUCAAUAUAUUUCAAGAUUCAAAACUUCUACUCCACAUUUUGCUAAAUUAGAAAGAAAAAGGAAGUUUUAGACUUAUACCUUCCAAAACACUUGAAGAAAGUGAAGAACCAAGCUAUUUCUUUCCAAACAAUUCCACAACAAGCUUCCUUAGUUCCUUGGUGCUAGUUUAAUCGGUUUAGUUUUGUAGUUUCAACUCAAACAAGGCAAGAUUCAAGGUUUGUAGUUAGUGGUUUCCUCUCUUUUUUUCUCUCCCAAUUUUUGGCCAACACAAGAAGGCAAUGAAGAAAAAUGAACCAAGAAGAAAGAUAAGAAGAAAGAAAACUCAUUUGGUCAACCAACUCUUGGAUCUUUGACACUUGUCAAAGCCAAGUUUUCUCUCUUUUUUUUUUCUUUCCUUUUCCUUAGUCAACAAAGAUGGCUGGAUUAAAGGGUAAUUUAUGAAGGAUUAUGUGAAAUAAAAACAAGAAGAUUAGGGUAAGAAAGUAGUGGUCAAGUGGUGUACUCGAUCGGUAGCAAACGGUGCACGUCGGUUCAAGUCGAUUUUCCUUAACUCUCGCGUACUUGUGUUUUAACUUGUGAUUCACUCACUUAUUAUUAGCACUUCUAAUCACACACUUUCUCCUACCUAAUACUCACUCUUAUCCAUCAAAUUUAGCACACAUACCUUACCAAGUGAUCACACUACCAAAAUACACAAAAAUUCUAAUUUACCCUAACUAUAAAACUAAGGUAAAACUCUUAAUACUAUCAUUUAUUAUAUCUAUUGGGGGAAUAAAAUUAGUAGUAAAAUGAAUUAUAAAGUAGUUUAUUCAAAAUAAAAGGGAAUUUUAAGAAAAUAUAAGCAAAUUUUCAAGUCGUCACACUCUCUCCCUCUUACACAAAAAUCCGGGAUGUCACACAAUCUGACAGGAUUGAGAAUUGCUAGAGGGGCUCCUUGUCUAUCUAAUUUAUUUUUUGUAGAUGAUUCUCUAAUUUUCUGCAAAGCAAGUGGAGGGGAGGCAGGCCAGCUAAGGAGGAUCCUAGAUGUGUACAGGAAGGCUUCAGGCCAGUUGAUCAACAUGGAGAAAUCUUCUCUGUUUUUCAGCAGAAAUGUGAGUCAAAGAUAGAAGGUAGAGGUGAUGAGUGUGUUGCGGGGAAUGCAGCAGGUUUCACAAAGCAAAUAUCUAGGAUUGCCAUUGGUUAUUGGUAGAUCAAAGAGACAAGUUUUUUAUUUUAUAAGGCAAAAAACAAUAACCAGGCUGAAAGGAUGGAAGGAGAAACUGCUAAGUCCAGCUGGGAAAGAGGUGUUACUGAAAGCUGUCAUUAUGGCUUUGCCUACUUAUGUCAUGUCCUCCUGUCUCCUUCCAAAAGUAUUGUGCAAGGAGAUUUAUUCUGAAUGGCAAAGUACUGGUGGGGGCAAAAGGAAAAGGAGAAUAAGGUGCACUGGUUGAGCUAGAGUAAGAUGACUGAGGUAAAGGCAGAAGGGGGCUGGGAUUUAGGGAGCUACAUGAAUUCAACCUGGCUUUGCUUGCAAAGCAGCUAUGGAGAAUUCUGAUGAAUCCCAACUUACUGAUGAGUAAAAUUCUGAAGGCCAGGUAUUUUAAGGGGACAUCAAUCUGAAGGACAAAGAGUCAUGGUGCAGACUCAUGGUGCUAGAAGAGUCUGUUGCAGGCAAAAAAUGUACUGGAGGAGGGAUUGAGAAAGCAGGUGGGAGAUGGCAAAUCUAUAAAUAUAUGGGACAAUAGAUGGAUUCCAGGUACUGAGGAUCGGAAAGUAAAAACAAGGAGGGGGGAGGGUAUUGAGUUACAGAAAGUGAGUGAUCUUAUUAAGGGGGGAAUGUGGGACAAGGAGGUGAUUGCACAGGUUUUUGAUAGGGAAGAAGGUAGGAAGAUAUUGAGUAUUCUACUUAGUGAGGAGCCUAGGAAGGACAGAAUAUUCUGGGCAUUUUCAAACACUGGUAUGUAUACUGUAAAGUCAAGAUACAGGCUGGUAAAGAGAAAGAAAAGGAAGGAUGGUGAAGAGUGGACAGAGGCAGGAACUAGUUAUAGGAGGAUAGGUGCAACUUAGAACUGGAACUUUCUCUGGGGGUUGAAUGUGAAACAUAAAUUGAAGCAUUUCAUUUGGAAAUGCUUGCAUGGUAUCCUCCCAGUAAAUGCGGUACUAAAGGAAAGAUGUUCAAAGGGAGACCAUAUGUGCAAAGGAUGUGGGGAAGGUCCAGAAACUAUUGAACACAUGUUGUUCUUUUGCAGCAUUGCAAAAUUAAUAUGGAAAGUUGCACCUCUGAGCUAGGAGGGCCUAAAGGAUUAUAGGACAGGUUUUGGCACUGGUGGGAGGCACUGAAAGAAGCUGUAACCAAGGAGAAGGGUAAUGAGCAUAUAUGUUUAACAGUAAAUCUGCUAUGGCAAAUCUAGAAGUCCAGAAAUGACAAGCAAUUUAAUGAUCAUGGUAGGGAUCUGUUGGUAGCAGCUAACAAAGCAGUGUUGGAGUGGCAGGAGUAUCAGGAGGCUCAAGAGACUGAGGUGGAAGUUAGGGUCAGCAGCACGAAGAAGGAAAGGGAGUUGCAUGGUUGGGAAAGACCACAGGAGGGUUGGAUAAAGAUGAACUCAGAUGCUGCUUUACACAGUAAGAAGGAUAGAGCGGGCUGGGGAAUGGUUGCGAGGGAUUGGCAAGGGAAGGUGUUAGGAGCAUGGGCUGUGCCAUCUUUUAGCUGUUCGAACCCAAAACAAGAGGAAACAUUGGCACUAAGAAUGGCUAUGAAGCUGGCAAAGCUGCAAGGAUGGGAAAAGGUGGUGUUUGAGACAGAUUGCUUACAAGUUGUGGAAGAGUUAAACAGGGAGGAAAAUGAUAGGAUAGGGUCGGUAGUGGUUGAUGAUAUUAGGAGUCUUAGAACUAGUUUUGAUGAAUGUUGUUUUACUUUCACUCGGAGAGUAAACAACUCUGUUAGCCAUAAGCUUGCCAAAAUGGCAGUUAGAUUGGAAAACUUAGCUGAAUGGAAGGAUGACUUCCCAGCGUGUCUGCAUGAACUUGUGCAGAUAGACAGAGUGUAAGGGCAGUUGCCCAGUCUUUUUGUAACUUGUUUCGGUUUAUUAAUGGAACGUUGACGUUUUGACAAAAAAAAAAAACAAAUAGGAUUGGUUUAGUGGCUAAGAGAGGCCUCUUAGAGUUUUACUCGCUAUCAAAUUUAGGGUUUGAAUCCUGUGCCUAAUAAUUGAGAGUAGGAAGUGUGUGGGAAUGGAUGGAAGGAUUAAAAAAAACUGCAACUUUUGAAGUUGCAAAAAUUGCAUUUGAUGAAUACGUUUUUUACCAUAUGGGAAGAAGUCCGGAAAACAUCACUUUUAGGAAUUUUUUUUCUUUAAGUAGCACUCUUUGGGGAUUUACUCCAUCAUCCACUAGAUAGUUCUGCGUACAAAAGCAGCCAACUCGCAAAAUAGGUACUACACUGACAAUAAUGGAGAACUUUUUGGUCUCUGGUUUCUAACGAGAUGGAGUAACAAACCCUGCGUGGUCAUUUGUAAAACCAAGAAAAUGAAAUGUCUAAUUCCCAUGGAUUAGUAAUUUAUAAGACUAGAUAAUGCUUUCAGUUUUUUUACUAACAAAUGACGUGAAUUGCUAUUUACUUUUCUCCAGUAUGAUUGCGAUUAAAGUUUCUUGUCCCUCUCCGGUGGAACUUACACAAUUAUUCAAUCAGAAAAAGAUGAAGGCCCCGGCAACAACAAUGAUUAAGAAAGCUCAUGCAAAAAUGCCAAGCAACUUCCAUUGCAAAAGCAUCCAAAUUUCCCACUGAAUUGAACCACUGAUCGAGGGCUCCCUGAUGUCUUUCAAGUAUUCUACCGAAACAACUAAUGGCCGCCUUCAUUGACCAAACUUAGAAUUGUUGUGGCCGACAAAAUUUAGUCUAGGCUUUCAUACAGCUAUUCUUUAUCAAAUCAUGCAACAUAUAUUUAUUUGUAAACCAAAAACUUGUAGCAAAUAUUUGGACUUUUUUUGGAAAAUUACUGUAGCAUUGCUUUAAUUGAUGUAUGAUGUAUGUGAGAUAAAAAAAUAAUUAAAAAUAUAUUGAUAAUAUAAAUAAAUAAAUCUUGACAAAUAAUUUACAGGCACAAACAAACCCAUUACGACCAGAUGACAAGUUACUAUGAACUAUGAACAGAGUCUUUUAGAAGUUUGCAUCCGAAGAGCAAAAAAUUCCUUUGCUAACUUAAAUAUAUGCAUUUACCAUUCCAUGUACUGAGAAAUAAGUACAACAUUGGCAAUAAUUCAUACGGUAAUUCAGAUAUUUUCAGUAACAGCCCCAGCAUUGAAUCAUAAAAAUAUGAAGGCCCCAUCAACAACAAUAAUGAUUAAGAAAGCUCAGGCGAAAAUGCCAAGCAUCCUAUUGAGGACUCCUUAUUUGUCACAUAAUUGUCAUUAUUUAUUGGGCAAAUUCCACUUUACCCCUAUGUGGUUUAGCAUUUUUACAUAAUCCCCCUAUGAUUUCAAAAAUUAUAUAUAACCCCCUCAUGGUUUGGAUUAAAGUGUCAAAGUGACGGGAAUGAUCAUUCGUAACGGAGUCACCUAAAAUGUCAAAAAUAUCCUUAUAUAAAGUUGAAAAUUAUUUAUUAACCAAGGGGGGUUAUGUAUAUAUUUUAAAAACCAUAAGGGGGUUAUAUAAUAAAGUAUUAAACCAUAAGGGGGUUAUAUGGUAAAGUAUUAAACCAUAAGGGGGUUAGUGUGUCAUGUAUUUAUAAGGGUAAUUUCGACAUUUUCAGAAGUUCCGUUACGAAUGACUAUUUCCGUCACUUUGACACUUUAAUCCAAACCAUAAGAGAGUUAUGUAUAGCUUUUGAAACCAUAAGGGGGUUAUGUAAAAAAUGCUAAACCAUAGGGGGGUAAAAUAUAAUUUGCCCUUAUUUAUUUCUUGUACCAAAACAUAGUAGUCGAAGUUGAGUUGGACCACAGGGUUGUUAAUGUGAACAUAAAUAUCUCAUGUGAUUAGGGUGGUUCUACACCUCGAAUGCAACAAAUGUAGUACAAUUUAAGCAUGGGCUUGUGUUGUAAUUAAUGUAUGCGAAUAAAAUUCAUUGUGUGAUUGUAACAAAAGAAUUUUUUCUCAUAAUUUCUUAAAUUGGAGAAUAAAAGAAGCUGGUAAAUUGUAAUUAAUUUGUUAUACAGAAAAAAAUUAUGUUGUUUCUUCAACUUUAUAAAUUUUUGGUGUGAAAUUUUUUUUCUUUGCUUAAGAAUAAAAAUUUUUAAAAAUGUAAUUUGGAAUAAAAACUAGAAGAAAAUAGUAGAGGGAUUUUUUACCUCUUAGGGAGUUAAGUGUUACAAAAUAGAAAUUAGUUGGUAAAAUGAGAAACAUGGCAUACCUUAGCAAGAUAAAUUGUAAUUAACCCAUAUUAUUAAUUAAAUAAAUCUUAUAUACAUUGACAGUGCAUACAUUCUUACCGUUAGAUUCAUGACACGUGUGCAAAAAUUAAAUUUUAAAUUUAAAUUUUAUAUAGUUAUCAUUCAUCUAAUGCUGAUAAUGUAUACAAGGAAAUAUUAAUUCUUAUUAAUUUAUUAUGUGAUCUUAACUUCGAAGGUGAAACUAAUAAUGUGGACCAUACGGUCGCACAUGAGCCAUUAAUUAAGAACAUCUUUAGCUUAAACUCUGACAGCCACUAAGUUUUUAAAUUCCAUACUUAUACCCCUGAAGCAAAUGUUUUGAGUUUAUCUCUAAAGAGACUAACAGAUUAGGUGAAUGACUAUUUUCCUUUUUCCCAUGUCUCUGCCAUCACACUUUAUUGUCCCUAUCGGGUGGAACGGACAAGUGAAAAUGCCAAGCAUUCAGAUCUUUUCAGAUUAAAGGGCUCCAGCAAGCAUUUACUCAAUAAAGAUGAAGGCCCCAGCACCAAAGAAUGAUUGAGAAACUCAGGUGAAAUUAGGGAUGUAAUCGAAUCGAGUUGCUCGCGAGCUCGGUUAAAAGUUUGACUCGAACUCGGGUUGACCGAGUUCGAGUUCGAGUCGAACUCGAGCGCUUCGAUAAGAUAAACGAGUCAAGUUCGAGCAUCCAGAAGCAUUGCUCGAAGGCUCGUCGAUUCUUAUCGAGUUUUUAAUUUUAAUUAUUUAAUAUAUUAUUAUUAUAAAAUUACCCUUAUACCCAAAAGAGUUGUUGAAUUUACGAAAUAUUUCAAGUCAUAUAAAAAUUUUUAAAGGGCAAUAAUGUCUUUUCACUCAAAAAUUGUCAAAAAAAUGAAAAUUUCUAACUCAAGCUUGAUAAGGCUUGUAUUGACUCGAGCUCAUGCGAGUUGAGCUCGAGUUUUGCAAGCAAGCAUCGAGCUCGAGCUCGAUCUCUAAUAAUAGUACUCGCUCGAGCAGCCUUUUUGCAUGUCGAGUCGAGUUCGAGUAUGGCGAUAUUCGGUCUCGACUCGACUCGAUUACAACCCUAGGUGAAAUUGCCAAGUAACUUCCAAUGCAAAAGCAUCCGACUUUGAUAACCUUUUUUUUGGAAAGCCAUUUUGCCUUAAAAGAAUUUCUACGUGUUUUUCCAAGCACAUUUUUUAAUUACUUUUAUAUUUCGUGUAUAUCAAAUUACUAUAAUAUUUUUUUUACAAAUACUUUAAAAAAUAGCAAUCCAAAUGAAAAAGAAGCAUUCCACUUCGACGUGGAUUGAUGACUUUCAAAUGGUUACAUCAUGAACCAUUUUUUUUCUUGUCAAGGGACUAGCGCUGCAUUUGGGAGGCAAGAAAUGAUAAGAAAAGAAAAGUUUGGAUGGAUAUAUGUUAAUUUUUGUCAUUUGGGAGAAAGAGUGGGAAAGAAAAUAAAAGAAUUGGGCAGAUUUUGAUUUCUCUCCAGAGUCAAAAUAUUUUCCGCCUAAAGUAUACUUUCACAAUAUGACAGUUUUACCCGUAAAAAGUUUCUAGGCAAAGUUAAAUUUCCAUGACUUCUAGCUUCCUUAUAAAACCCCAGUCAAUAAAAAAUUCAUCUCACUCUUCCUUCUCUUGACCACUAACACUCUGGCGGAGCGAAAAUAGAGAAACUAUUUGUGCCCUCUUUCUGCUUCAAGAUCAGGUAACCUCCUCUUCUAUUCAUAGUUGCUUCAUAGUAUUAUGGAUACAUUGACAUGGGGUGUAUGAUGGAAUUCUAUUUUGUCACAUGAAUUUCCAUAAUUCCUUAAUGAAUUAAAUUUAAAAUUUCACAUGCUUUAGUUGUUUCCUGGACACUUGAUUACUUGAUAGCUUAUUCUUGGUCUUCUACCUGAUUAUUUGAAUCAUUAUAGGGCUUCAAUAAUUUUUCAAAAUUAUCCCUCUUUAAUAAUAGCUAACAAUCCUGGACGACAAGUAGGAUGAGAGAUUAUGAUGUAUGUAUUUCUAGGAAAGUUCGUUAAUUUGCAUUUGGAUCAAAGUUUAAACAAGUUGGAUAAUUGAUAAUUUAUUCCCGUUGAAUCAUCUUAGACAUCCAUUUAUGCUGCACUUAGUACUGAUCUUAAUCACUCACAACAAUGAUCAGAUUAUCACCAAUUAAUGGCUUGGCAUAAUCACUCACAACAACCUUUGCCGGUUCUUUUAGUUGGAGUAAGGCAGCAUACGACAAGAAAUAAUUGAUUUUUUCAACUAGUAUUGGGUGGCAAACUAUGAUCAUAUUUUAAUGACUUCGUAUAUAUAUAGUAAGGUUGUGUGGAUAGCAACAAAUUUAUCAAUUUUAUUAUUUUAAUUACCUACUGACUCAUAAAACAAAUACACUAACAAUAAUACUUUUAGUUGGAUAAGAAAUCACACUAAGAUUCAAAUUAGUUUCACAUUCAACAAAAACAACGACAAUUAAUUGGUGUUGACGUUAUUUGCCAUGUAACAAAAUUGAUCAUGCGUCAAAGGAUUUGUAGCACAAAUUAUGUCGAUCGAUCCAUUGGGUAUCGAUCUAAACAAAGUCAAAAUAUGCGAAAGGAAAUAUUGAUGCAACUUAGGACAAAUUAGAUAUGUAGUCUCGAUAAACAUUGACAAAAAGUUCCUAAAUUUGGCAAACUUGGAUAUAUAGACUUAAACAGUGUUGUGAGGUGAAAAAUUAGGGGCAACAUGAUCGAACACCGGUCUAAAAGAAUUAUAUGAUAAUUAUAUUUUAGAUGGAGUAUUUGAGAUCACAAGCCUCACUGUCAAAAUUUCAACUACAUAGGAAGCAAAUUAACUGAUUUAAAAAGAGGUGUCUCUUUUUGUUUAUUGAUUUGCUAUAUAAACAUUUUGAUCCUAUUAACUUUCGCUACCUUAAUUUCCUAAUUGAGGAACCGUCUUAUAAAAGUUUCACCACCUCCUCAGAUUACUACAAUCAGAUUGCGCUAAAAUUAUUUUGAGGUGACCCCACACAAUUUGAUUAAUCCCAAUUAUACCGCAACGGAAUCUGAAUCUCACACAUCAACCCACUGGAAUCGUUUAAUCAUCUCUCUCUUGUUCUGACUGGCUUCUAUUCUGAUUUCUGCCAAUUGUUGCUGAAACAUUCCUUCCAUCUCUUCUAUCAGAAAACCUUUCGAUCCUAGUUCCAAUUCCAAGCAAGAAACAAUGGCUGACGCUGCUAUCAGUGCUACUGUUAAGGUCGUCCUGGAGACGGUCAUUUCCAUUGCCGCGGACCGUGUUGGUAUGGUUCUCGGGGUCAAAGCAGAGUUGGAGAGACUAAGCAACACUGCUGCAACGAUCCGAGGUUUCUUGGCUGAUGCUGACGAAAAUGCAUAGCCCAGGGGUGCGAGAUUGGCUCAAGAAGCUAGAGGAUGAGGUUUUUAAAGCUGAUACCGUGCUGGACGAGCUCAACUACGACAAUCUUCGUCGGGAGGUGAAGUACCGAAAUCAACUCACCAAGAAGAAGGUAUGCUUCUUCUUCUCCUUCUUUAAUGCAAUUGGCUUUAGUUCCAGCUUGGCUUCAAGAUCCGGGACAUCAACACCAACUUCAAAAGGAUCAACCAGCAAGCCAAUGACUUGGGAUUGGUAACCAAGUACCAAAUUGAAGCUGCACUCCCUGCUGAUGCCGCUGGUGCCACGACAAGCAGACAGACCGACUCUAUCAUUCUUCCAAACGUUGUAGGAAGAUCCGGCGAUGAGUCAAAGAUAGUGGGGAUGCUGUUGACCCCAUCUGAAAGAGUUGUCUCAGUUAUUCCCAUUACAGGCAUGGGUGGUCUGGGCAAAACAACUCUUGCUAAAUCAGUCUACAACAAUACAAAAAUUGAUGAGAAUUUUGGCAUAAAGAGUUGGGUUUGUGUGGCUAGAAAAAUUGAUAUAGUGGAGCUGUUUAAAUUGAUUUUAAAUCGUUGACAAGAACGAAGGUUGAAGUGGAUGAUAGGGAAGCCAUAGUUCAGGAAAUUCGAGGAAAACUUGGGGAAAAAAGAUUUCUCCUUGUUCUUGAUGAUGUAUGGAAUUGUGAACCGGGAUUGUGGAGUGACUUCUUCGCCACAUUGUUGGGACUCAGUACAACUAAAGGAAGCUGGUGUAUUCUCACUACUCGUCUACAACCAGUGGCUAAUGCUGUGCUUAGGCAUUUGCAAAUGAAUGGUGGUCCUUAUUUCUUAGGAAAGCUAUCAGGUGAUGAGUGCUGGUCCAUCAUAAAAAGAAAGGUGCUCGCAAGGGAAGAGAAGUAACAAAAGAAUUGGAAGCAAUACAGGAGCAAAUUUUAAGGAGAUGCGAUGGCCUACCCUUGGCGGCAAGUUUGAUUGGUGGCUUGUUUAACAACAGAAGAGAGAAGUGGCACUCCAUUGUGCAGGAGAGUCUUUUGAAUGAAUAUCAAAGCCAAAUUAAUCAAAUACUUAAGGUGAGCUUUGAUCAUUUAUCACCUCCAUCAGUUAAGAAAUGUUUUGCAUAUUGCUCGAUUUUUCCCCAGGACACUGAAUUGGGAGAAGAUGAACUAAUUGAGCACUGGGUUGCUGAAGGUUUUGUUCUACCGGAUCAGAAAAACACAAGAAUGAUGGAGGAAACAGGAGGCGAGUAUUUGAGGAUUUUGUUACAAAAUUCCUUACUGGAAAAAGUCCAAGACAAGUUGAGGACAUACUAUAAAAUGCACGAUCUCGUGCAUGAUUUUGCAAAAUCAAUUCUCAAUCCAGAAAGCAGCAAUCAAGAUCGAUAUCUUGCAUUGAACUCUUCUGAAGGUUUGGUAGAAAAAACCACAAUGACAAUACCAGCAUCAAUUCGUACGUUAUUUCUCCAUCUAGAGGAUGGCAUAUCUGCUGGCAUGCUUUUAAGAUUCAAGUACUUGCAUGUUCUCAGAUUGUCUGGCAAUGAUGUCGUGUUUCUACCGAGCUCCAUUGGCAAACUAUUACAUUUGCGGUUGCUCGACAUUUCAUCUUCUCGAAUCAAAAGUUUGCCAGAAUCUCUUUGCAAGCUAUAUAAUUUGCAGACACUAACGAUUCGAAAUAAUGCACUUGGAGAAGGUUUUCCAAAACGGAUGAAUGAUUUGAUUAGCUUGAGGCAUCUAAACUACUAUCAUCAUCGUGCAAAAUUUAAAAUGCCGAUGCAAAUGGGACAAUUGACUUGUCUUCAAACUCUGAAGUUCUUUAAUGUAAGUCAAGAGAAGGGUUGUGGCAUCGAAGAGCUUGGGACCUUGAAAUAUCUUAGAGGAUCAUUGGAGAUAAGAAAUCUUGGACUAGUAGAGGGAAAAGAUGCAGCUAAACAAGCAAAAUUGUUCGAAAAGCCAAAUCUGUCUCGCUUAAGGUUGGACUUUAGACGGAAGAGGGGGCAUCGGAAAAGCGAUAACUGUGAUGAGGAUGUGUUCGAAGGUCUCCAACCUCACCCAAAUUUGCAAAAGUUGGAAAUUCGAUAUUUUAUGGGUACUAAAUUUUCGCAAUGGCUUAUCAAUUUGCCAAAAUUGGUGGAGUUGUGGAUAGAAGAUUGCAAGAGAUGCAGUGAACUCCCCUCAUUAGGACAACUACCAUCCCUCAAACGUCUCUAUUUGAACAAACUAGAAAACAUUCGAUCUAUUGGAGAUGAAUUCUAUGGUAUUACUACUAAUGAGGAGGGGGAGGAGAAGGGCAGAUCACGAGCAUCAGGGAGCAGCACUAGAAGACGAAAAUUCUUUCCGGCCCUUGAAGAACUCCGUGUAGCAUAUAUGAAGAAUUUGGUAGAGUGGAAGGAUGCAGACCAAGUGAGGUCAACAAUAGCCGAAGAAGCAGCAGAUGUCUUUCCCAUGCUGAUGGAUUUGAGCAUUCAACAUUGCCCCCAACUGACCACUCUCCCGUGCUCAUGCAAAAUUCUAGACGUGCAAUAUUGCCGCAAUCUAACAAGUAUAAAAACGGGUUACGGCACUGCUUCUGUUGAGAAGUUGAAGAUUGGCUGUUGCAACAAUCUUAGGGAGCUGCCAGAAGAUGUGUUUGGAUCGAGUUUGCAGCGGCUGAGCAUCGAAAGUUGCCCAAGAUUAAUUAGUCUGGGAGUAAAUGGGAAGAAAUGCCCACUACCAUGUCUUGAACGAUUGAGUAUUCAAUAUUGCUACGGGUUGACCACUAUAUCCGACAAAAUGUUCGAGUCAUGCCAGUCUCUGAGGUCCCUGUCGGUGGAGUGUUGCCCCAAUCUGGUGUCAUUUUCGCUUAAUUUGCAGGAGACGCCUUCUCUCGAGGAUUUCGCCCUGCUCAACUGUCCCAAAUUGAUCCCUCACAGGUUCAAUGGAUUUGCUUUUGCCACCAGCUUAAGAAAUUUGUGGAUCGGUCCCUUCUCCUCAGAUGACUCCUCAAUCGAUGGUUUUGACUGGUCUGGUUUAAGAUCUGCAUCAACACUGUGUAAGGUUCACUUAGAAGGGUUAUGUCACUCGGAUUCCCUGCCACACCAGCUUCAAUACUUGACUACCCUCACUUCACUAAACCUGAAGAACUUUGGACGAAUAGAAGUGCUACCUGAUUGGAUUGGAAACCUUGUGUCCCUUGAAACCCUACAGCUAUCGAAUUGCGAAAAGCUUCGAUGUUUACCGUCUGAGGCUGCCAUGAGACGACUCACAAAGUUAACAAGUGUUGAAGUUCGUCGGUGUCCUCUAUUAAGACAACGAUACACUCCCCAAAGAGGCAUCUACUUGGAGGAGUAGAUUUCAAGUUAUUUUGUAAGAUUUUCCUAUCUAAAGUUCACACUUAUAUGUAUACAAAUAUUUUGACAUAAAUUUGCUCUUCAGUCUCUUAUACUCUGUUUUCUCCGUCUCUUCUAUGAAAUUUCACUAGUCUUGUAAAGUUAAUCUCUGUAAUCCUCUUCUUUUUGGGCAGACCUCGGUUUCUCUUCAAAGAUUAGUUUUAACAGAUCCCGGUUUUGAACAAAUUAGAAGAGACCAAAAUUCUGGAUUUCCUCUGCCUCUCUGAAUCACUGAAAGAUUUUGAACAUCUUAAAAACUCCUUACACUUCAAAUUGUUACAUUCUAUUUGGCCAAGGACGAAAUUAUUAGCAAUGGUGAAUACACAAUUAGCCUCUUUGUUUGAAUGUGUUGGAAAAUGUUUCAUUUGAUUUGUAAUGCUACAUGUACGUGGACCCAUUCUUCAUUUUUCUGUCACCUGAUAUUGCCGGUUUGAACGGACAACAUUAAAGCUAAUCAAGAAACAUUUGCGAAGAAAAUUCAAGAAACAAUUUUCUGUUCAAGAUACAAUAAUUUUGGAUAGUUGUUUGUCAUGUUUCACAAGUUCCAGAAGUUUAUACAUCACAAUUACCAUGCAGGCCAGCAGCGAGAGCGAACAAGAAGAAGUCGAUGACAAUGAACAAGCAGGCAGAGAUGGUGAACAAAAAAGCAUUGAUAGUGUGCUCAAACAUCAGCUUCAUGGUGUUUCCCAUCGUUGCUGAAGAAGAAGAAGAGCUUAGGAGGUUUGUUGUGUAGAAAAGUGAUAAUGGAGCAUUUCUCUCCCCAAGAACUCUUUUAUUACCUCCAUCCAAUUUACUAAGAGUACAAGGAAUUGGUGCAACUUUGCAUUCUAGUAUGCUUGAGUCAUGUAAUUGGCCUAAGAACAGGGCAUUUUCCUGUACUUUUAUGUGUUUGUGAACUUUUACCCUAUGCCAACAGCUUAUCUUUUGCUCUUUAAGAUUUUUUUAUUUACUUGGUGCUAAACAUGUCUUUUGAUUGUGAAAGAAUCUGGUCUUUUCCGAUUUUCUUGCACUAGUUACUAGACCAUAACUUUUCUUUGCUUCCAUUGUUCAUUAUAAUCGGAGCCAUACUGAAAUGUACCAUUGUGAUGCUUUCUAGAGUCUUAGGAGGCAUAGCUUAUGUUAUUGGACAAAGGACACCAUCGUUUACACACCAAUUGUCACACGAUAUUGCAUAAUAGGAGAAACUUCUUGAAUUCUGGUGGGCUUUGAUUGGUUUAAGUAGGAUGAUGUUUCUUUUAUGUGUUGUACUGACCCCUUCUGUAUAGUUUACAUAGAUCUAAUUGGGCUGCUGCUUCUGAUAUGAUCCCAGAAGUACAUACGUUUAGUUUUUUAAGCUGCAAUAUCGGUUUUUCUCAAUGCACUGCCAUCACUAGUUUGUUAUAUUGGUUUCUGGUUGGUAGAUGAAUUUUUAUUGAGUUGAAGUUUCAUUUCUUAGCAUUUAUUAAUUCUAAUUUGAAUUUGCUUUUAAAUAUUUAGGCCAUGUUCUCGCUUAAAGGUAGGGAAAAUACAUUAGAGAAGAUUUGAGGAGGCUAUUGAUUACGUAAAUGAGCAGCUUCCUUCAGAUGAUUCCUCUGUUCCAGCUGUAAGACUGUUUGUUGCCAUAAAUUCAACUCUCUAGUUCUGGCUUUUCUGAAUCAGCCGAACUGAACUCUAGCUUUUUGAUUGUUUUGCAGGCUUCCGAUGCUAACCUGAAAAAUGCAACGGACAGGAAAGAGGCACAAAUCCCUCCGGAGCUUAUAACUCGAUGUGUAGCUAUUCUGCUUGACCACUCUCCCGUGCUCAUGCAAAAUUCUAGACGUGCAAUAUUGCCGCAAUCUAACAAGUAUAAAAACGGGUUACGGCACUGCUUCUGUUGAAAAGUUGAAGAUUGGCUGUUGCAACAAUCUUAGGGAGCUGCCAGAAGAUGUGUUUGGAUCGAGUUUGCAGCGGCUGAGCAUCGAAAGUUGCCCAAGACUAAUUAGUCUGGGAGUAAAUGGGCUGAAAUGCCCACUACCAUGUCUUGAACGAUUGAGUAUUCAAUAUUGUGUUGGGUUGACCACUAUAUCCGACAAAAUGUUCGAGUCAUGCCAGUCUCUGAGGUCCCUGUCGGUGGAGUGUUGCCCCAAUCUGGUGUCAUUUUCGCUUAAUUUGCAGGAGAUGCCUUCUCUCGAGGAUUUCGCCCUGCUCAACUGUCCGAAAUUGAUCCCUCAUAGGUUCAAUGGAUUUGCUUUUGCCACCAACUUAAGAAAAUUGUGGAUCGGUCCCUUCUCCUCAGGUGACUCCUCAAUUGAUGGUUUUGACUGGUCUGGUUUAAGAUCUGCAUCAACACUCCGUAAGGUUCACUUAGAAGGGUUACGUCACUCGGAUUUCCUGCCACACCAGCUUCAAUACUUGACUACCCUCACUUCACUAAAUCUGAAGAACUUUGGAGGAAUAGAAGUGCUACCUGAUUGGAUUGGAAACCUUGUGUCCCUUGAAACCCUACAGCUAUCGAAUUGCGAAAAGCUUCGAUGUUUGCUGUCUGAGGCUGCCAUGAGACGACUCACAAAGUUAACUAGUGUUGAAGUUCGUCGGUGUCCUCUAUUAAGACAACGAUACGCUCCCCAAAGAGGCAUCUACUUGGAGGAGUAGAUUUCAAGUUAUUUUGUAAGAUUUUCCUAUCUAAAGUUCACACUCAUAUAUAUGUAUACAAAUUUUUUGACAUAAAUUUGCUCUUCAGUCUCUUAUACUCUGUUUUCUCCGUCUCUUCUAUGAAAUUUCACUAGUCUUGCAAAGUUAAUCUCUGUAAUCCUCUUCUUUUUGGGCAGACCUUGGUUUCUCUUCAAAGAUUAGUUUUAACAGAUCAUGGUUUUGAACAAAUUAGAAGAGACCAAAAUUCUGGAUUUCCUCUGCCUCUCUGAAUCACUGAAAGAUUUUGAACAUCUUAAAAACUCCUUACACUUCAAAUUGUUACAUUCUAUUUGGCCAAGGAUGAAAUUAUUAGCAAUGGUGCAUACACAAUUAGCCUCUUUGUUUGAAUGUGUUGGAAAAUGUUUCAUUUGAUUUGUAAUGCUACAUGUACGUGGACCCAUUCUUCAUUUUUCUGUCACCUGAUAUUGCCGGUUUGAACGGACAACAUUAAAGCUAAUCAAGAAACAUUUGCGAAGAAAAUUCAAGAUACAAUUUUCUGUUCAAUAUACAAUAAUUUUGGAUAGUUGUUUGUCAUGUUUCACAAGUUCCAGAAGUUUAUACAUCACAAUUACCAUGCAGGCCAGCAGUGAGAGCGAACAAGAAGAAGUCGAUGACAAUGAACAAGCAGGCAGACAUGGUGAACAAAAAAGCACUGAUAGUGUGCUCAAACAUCAGCUUCAUGGUGUUUCCCAUCGUUGCUGAAGAAGAAGAAGAUCUUAGGAGGUUUGUUGUGUAGAAAAGUGAUAAUGCAGCAUUUCUCUCCCCAAGAACUCUUUUAUUACCUCCAUCCAAUUUACUAAGAGUACAAGGAAUUGGUGCAAGUUUGCAUUCUAGUAUGCUUGAGUCAUGUAAUUGGCCUAAGAACAGGGCAUUUUCCUGUACUUUUAUGUGUUUGUGAACUUUUACCCUAUGCCAAUAGCUUAUCUUUUGCUCUUUAAGAUUUUUUUAUUUACUUGGUGCUAAACAUGUCUUUUGAUUGUGAAAGAAUCUGGUCUUUUCCGAUUUCCUUGCACUAGUUACUAGACCAUAACUUUUCUUUGCUUCCACUGUUCAUUAUAAUCGGAGCCAGACUGAAAUGUACCAUUGUGAUGCUUUCUAGAGUCUUAGGAAGCAUAGCUUAUGUUAUUGGACAAAGGACACCAUCGUUUACACACCAAUUGUCACACGAUAUUGCAUAAUAGGAGAAACUUCUUGAAUUCUGGUGGGCUUUGAUUGGUUUAAGUAGGAUGAUGUUUCUUUUAUGUUUGUACUGACCCCUUCUGUAUAGUUUACAUAGAUCUAAUUGGGCUGCUGCUUCUGAUAUGAUCCCAAAAGUGCAUACCUUUAGUUUUUUAAGCUGCAGUAUCGGUUUUUCUCAAUGCACUGCCAUCACUAGUUUGUUAUAUUGUUGGUUUCUGGUUGGCAGAUGAACUUUUAUUGAGUUGAAGUUUCAUUUCUUAGCAUUUAUUAAUUCUAAUUUGAAUUUGCUUUUCAUUUAGGCCAUGUCCUCGCUUAAAGGUUGGGAUAAUAGAGAAGAUUUGAGGAGGCUAUUGAUUACGUAAAUGAGCAGCAUCCUUCAGAUGAUUCCUCUGUUCCAGCUGUAAGACUGUUUGUUGCCAUAAAUUCAACUCUCUAGUUCUGGCUUUUAUGAAUCAAACGAACUGAACUCUAGCAUUUUGAUUGUUUUGCAGGAUCCGAUCCUAACCUGAAAAAUGCAACAGACAGGAAAGAGGCACAAAUCCCUCCGGAGCUUAUCACUCGAUGUGUAGCUACUCUGCUCAUGAUUCAGCUCCUUAUAUCUCUAAGAUCCUUUAUUCCCAUCUUGUCUCUUUCUUUGCUUCAUAGAGGGCCCACUUGUGAUGAUGUUUAUAUCAGAAGUUUGAUCACUUGGACGAUUCCCUUUUCCUGUUAAAACUACAAGCUGUGCAUAUUUUGGUUUAUAUUUUCCUUAUGGCUUAUUAUCAGUUCAAAGUACUGAAUCUCAGUUUCAAUAAAGUGGAUAUUUAUGGCUAUUAAAUUGUAGCCAUAAUGAAGUUACUGACUCAAUCUAGCAACUAUUCGUAUAAUGGGAUCACUCCCUUGUUUUGCUUUUUUUCAAUGAAUUAAGGAGGAGUUGAAACUAAUCUCAAACUUCGUUUAACUGAUAAUGAAGCUCACCCUUCACUUGCUUGCUGCUGUUAGGUUUGCAUCAUUUUUGAAAUAUUUUCUUUGUCAACUCCAUUUAUUGGUUAGCAAGUUCUUUCCGCAGUUGUAGGAAUGACACGACUAGAAUAUCAGUUCUCUAUUCGAGAAUUGAACAUCUGUGCGUACAAUGUUUUAAAUGCUCUUCAUUCUACAAUUUGUUGUUUUGUUUUCUUGUGAUUUACACAGUUCGACCUUUUUGCGAAUGUAUACUUAUUGGCUUAAUAUUGCAGUCAUUUGUUGCAAAAAUGUACAGAGAGGCAGUUUCCACCAGCCGAUGUGGCUCAAAUAUUGGAUUCUGCAAUUACAAGCUUGAAGCCUUGCUGCCCACAAAACCUUCCAGUUUAUACUGAAAUACAGAAGUGCAUGGGAAUUGUCAGGAACCAAAUAUUGGCGCUUAUACCUACUUAGCCAAUAAAACUUGGACGUAUUUCUUUUUCAUAUCU
rnacentral:lncRNA from 1 species